rnacentral:lncRNA from 1 species
CCUCUGUCUAAAGUUUAACUGUAAGCUGCACGCUCUCUCUUAGAAGACUACUAGGAGUAGUAGCUAAUAGAUAGGUCUGAAACAGGAAGGGAUUGAGAAACUCCUGUGUUUGGAUUCGUUAAUUACCUGUUACUGUAUCUGGAGGGUAUUUGGAUGCAGCCAGCUAACAAUUAUUAGCAGGUUUCCGUUAUUUCUCUACAUAUUAACUAUUAUUAAAUGAUUUGGUCAUAGCGUCCAGCUAACAAUUAGCUAGUCUAUUAUUUAUAUUUAUUUGAAUCGAAAAAAGAUAAUUAUUGGUAGAUAACUACUAGUAAUGUAUCUGCGGGAUCCAAACAAGACCUUAUAACGAGGUCAUGGACACUCAACUCUGAUUAUUAUAUUGUGCUCCGAAUCAAGAAUGAGAGAUUUCCUGACACUUGAACUGAACAAAUACAGUAAAACAGUACGGAGUAGAGGACAACAAGGCAUAUAUAGCUGUAACUUUUAGUAUACAGUAACAAACAAACACACAGGCACAAAACAUGCAUGUGACUAGACGAUCCGAUCCAAUCCAACCAUUUAAAAAAAACUAGGAACAAUGCCUGCCUGACGAUUCCCUCCAUCUGUUGUGCUAUUUUUUCUUUUUGAAAAACCAAACAAACAGGUUUGCAGCUUGACCAUAUUUUUUUUAAAAAAAAGUCUUGGGAAAGCGCAAAGCUGUGCUAUUUGAUAUAUAUUAAUAUAUAUAUAUUAAUUAAGCAAUGGUGGUAUAUAUUAAUAAGCACGAGGGAGGAAGAAAACAAACAGGUAGUAAACCAUAAGCAAGCACAACAAAUACUAUAUAUGACAGUCACAUCGUGGAACAGCUGUGUAUGGCAAAAUUUCUUUGUACAUUCUCAUCGCCUAGACGUACAUGCUUAUAUAUAUAAUAAAAAUGUCGGCCACUCAAACCUUAUUAUAACCUUAUAUAGCUAUAUACUUAUAUAUUAUGCCACUUGUGGUUUGCCAAUGAUAAAUUAAAGCAGCCGGCUAGCUAGGAUGUAGAGUAUAUACUUUUGAACUAAAAUAUAUACUGUAGUGUGAGAAGAAUAGGUCGCAGGAAUCGAAAACCUGAGGUCAUGCAUGACAUGAUGAUACAUACAUACUCACUCGUCACUCCAUCUUAGGAGGGGGAAAAAAAUAUACAAUUCUCACUUUUAAUUUGUGAAUCAGUAGUCGCGGGCGCAACGGUUUAUACAUGUACUAGCAUAUCAGAGGAAUCAGUAAUUAUAUAAUAGUAUCUAUCUCUAUACACAAUAAUACAUCUUGGGAAGCAAAUUAAGCAAGGCAGUGGGGAAUCCAAAGAAACGAAACGGAUUCAUAUGAAGGAACAUGCAUAUGCAUGGGAAGGGGCCGGGGGAGACGGGGGAUGGCAUGGAAUGGAAUGGAACCGAGAGAGAGGCUAUAGCCUGUAACAGAAGGAGAAGCAGGAGCAGGAGCAGAGCAGGCUAUGGAGGCGGCAGCAUGCAUGGAGGAGGAAGAAGACGAUCGGAGACAACGCACAUACCGGCCGAUGGAGCUGCGAGCUGAGCUAGUUCCUGCGCUGCGCUGAAGAGGAAGAGGGAGGGGACGGCACCGCCGGGAUGGAAUGGAAUUGGAUGGAUAGGCAGGCAGCCCUCUCUUGCUGUCUGUGAGUUUGUGUGUUUUAUAUAAAGGGAGGAGGAGGAGGAGGAUGGUGUGCUUACGACAGUGCUGACGUAAGACGUUUGCUUUGGACAGAGAGAUAGAGAGGCGUCGUUGGUGGUCACAAAAGGAUUUUUUUUUGAGAUAAUGAACGCGGCGGCAUCGCAUCGGAGUGGCACGUCGAGUCCACACGUGCAUUGCAGAUUUGCAUGUACAUUUGGUGCUUCUAGAAAGGGAGAGGACACGGCCGACGGUGUGGGGUCCCUGGUCGAUGUCGACACGUUGGGUCUCCUCUUGCGAGAGGCUAUCACACUCCUCGCCUCACUCGUGCAAAUAAAUCAAGGGUUAAUUAGAUCUGUACUAUUAUAUAAUUUUAUUGUUUCUAAAGCAUACCAUUACUAUUUAAGAAAUCGUACCAUCGUCAUUGUAACUCUGUAGAUGUUUGAGAUAUGCUAGGCCUAUAGCGGUAAUGCUACUUCUAGAGCGUCCAUCCGCAUCAGACGACCCACUCCACCGAGCGUGAACCAACAACGAAGAGACCCGACACGCCUCCUGACUUCCUAUCCAUUCGCUCGACGCCUACUCGUCACUUUCUUCUCUGCGCGUCAUGGCUCCAUCUUUGCUCGCUCCACUCUGCUACUGCUUGCGCUGCCUUCGCUGCUGCUCAUCAAGACGGAGGCACAGUAAGAUCCAGCUCGCUUGUUCCCUCUCCCUUCCUCCCUUCUUCCCUCCCUCCGACCUCCAUGUCACACGAAGAGGAGGGCGACGGCAGCGGCUUCUAGCGAGCCGCACCAUCCCUGCCUCCCUCCUCCCCCAUGUGACCUCCACGCCAUCGGAGAUGAGGGCUCUGGCAGUAGAUUUCAGUGAGGUAGGUGGGUCUUUAUCUCGAUCUGAACCCUCCUUCUCUUCCUCUUCCUCCUCCUCGCUCUGGAUCUAAGGUUGCGGCGGUGGCUAGGGUUUCGACGAGCUCUCGUGGUCAGAUCUAUCUGUGAUGUAGUGAGUUUCUCGGAUGUUGCAGUACGUUUCAGUUGAUAUUGCAGUAGUACUGCUUGAGAUGUUGCAGUAUGGUUUUCAAUUGUUUCAAUUUUAUGUCGCGGUGGUUGUUCCAUGUUGUUGCAACAGUCUGUUCGGUGUUGUUUGCAAUAAUAUGUUCAUGAUGUUUCAUUGUUUCAGUUACUUCAGCAUAAUGUUUCAGCUGUUGUUCUUUUCUUGUUUGCAAUAAUAUGUUUUUUGAUGUUUCAACUUCUUCAUCGCAAUGUUGCAGUAGCAGUGCUUUUGAGAUGUAGUAUGGUUUCAGUUGCUUCAAUCUCAUGUUAUAGUAGUUCUUCUAUGUUGUUGCAGUAGUAUGUUUCAUUCAGUUCUAUUUUGUUUUUUUGCAAGUGUUUCAUUAGCAUGUUUCGAGUGUUUCAGUUGUUUCGUACUUAAUGUUGUAAGUGUUUCAUCUAUAGAUGUUUCAGAAGUAUAUCUGGUGUUGCAAAUAGUGUGUUUCAGAUGCAAGUUUUAUAUGUUUCAUCUGCCUUCAGACGUAUGUUGAAAAUGUUGCAUUUGGAUGUUUCAAAAGUAGAUCGAGUGUUGCAUCCUUGUCUUCGCUUUUCUGCUCCCUCAUGUUCGCCUCGUUGUCUUUCCCUCCUCCUUUUAGCACCGACUAAGCAUAUAUCGCCUCUCCCUCUCUUCUGGAUAUUGGUCUAGCCACCUGUUGUAGUCACCCACCCCCUCUCUUCUGGAUGUUGGUCUAACCACCUGUUGUAGUCACCCGCCGCAGCCGUAGGCUUGAAGGGUCAAGAUGGCGGACUAGAGGGGGGUGGAUAGUCCUUUCUAAAAUUUAUUGUGCCGGCUAACCGAAACAAAUGCGGAAUUAAAACUAUCGGUCUAGCCAAGAUUACACCCCUCUAUCUAAGUUCUCUAGCACCUUGAAAAGAUCCUAAACAAGCAAGCAAGGUGCUACCUUAGCAAGAGCUCACCUAACCAAUUCUAGGAGCAAGGUCACACAAACCUAUGCCACUAGUACUUUGCAAGACCGGGGAGCUCCUACACAACUAGUAAGCAAAAGCACAAAGCUCCUAAGCUCACUAGCAAUGCUCAAUAACAAGGCAACCAAUGCCAAACUAGAGAGUGCAAAUUACUUAGCUACACAAACUAAGCAAUGUGACUAACAAGGUUACACAAACCAAAUUAGUCACACAAGGGGAACUACUUCUAGCUACACAAGCAAGAAGGUAACUAGCAAGCUACACAAGCUAACUAAUUACAAGAGCAACUACACAAGCACAAAUAUAUGAAUGUAAGAACAAGCUUGUGUUAGGGACUUGCAAACCAACGGGAAGAACAAUGUUGACAUGAAGAUUUUCUCCCGAGGUUCACUUGGUUGCCACCAAGCUACAUCCCCAUUGUGUCGACCAACACUUGGUGGUUCGACGGCUAAGAGGUGUUACACGAACCUCAUCCCCACUAGGACACCGCAAGAACCUACCCACAAGUGAGGUAGCUCAAUGACACGCAUGAUCCAAUAGAGUUGCUCUUCGCGAUCCCCGCGAGGUGAGCACCGUACCCCUCAUAAUCUCUUCUCUAGAGCACCGCACAAUCUCCUUGCAUGCUUCGACGAAGUCACAAGCCACCAAGUCGUCUAGGAGGUGGCAACCUCCAAGAGUAACAAGCACCACCGGCUUGCAACACGAACACCUAGUGCCACUUGAUGCAAUCUCUCAAUGCAACGCACUAGAAUCUCUCACUCACACAAUUGGAUGAUCACUAUCAAGUUUAUGUGAGUUAGAGGCUUCACUAGCACUCCCUAAGCAUAGACACUAAGUCCCAAGGGUGCUCAACACUAGCCAAGGCCGGCCACCACUUCUAUUUAUAGCCCCAAGGGCUAAACUAGCCGUUGCCUCUUUACUAGGCAAAAGUCGUGAGCACCGAACUCACUCCAGGGAGCCACUGGACGCUGGAACAGUGCGUCCAGUGCUCCAAAAACAGCCACGUCACUAGCCGUUUGAACUCGACUGUUACCGCCAACGACUAGCACGCGCGCGCACCUGAAGCAGCCACACCAGACGCUGGUCCACACCGGACGUAUCCGGUGCACACCGGCCCCGUGCGCAGAGAGGGUUGCAAAGUCGCUCGCACACCAGACUCACACCACCGGACUCACUCCUGAGCGUCUGGUCCCUUACUCAGAGAGGUUUGCAAAAUGUAGGGUCACCGAACUCGCAGCACCGGACGCAUCCUGAGCGUCUGGUGCUCUCAGUCAAAAGCACCCACUGAAGUUACGUCACACCGGACGCACACAUAGGGACUAGCCCGCGUCCGGUGCUUAACCCUAAUAGCGCCAGACAUAGACAGCACACCGGACGCUAAGGUCAGCGUCCGGUGUGUGCCCGCGACUUCUCCAAAUUUCCCACCGGCGCAAUAGAAAAUAUGCACUUAAUUUUCUCAAAAGCGCCGAAUCCCACCGAGCUAGCUCGGCAGGAGGGAGAGAGGAACCCAAACCCCUCUCUACCCUAGGAAUUCCACCUCCUUUGUAAAUGUGCUAGCACCACCAAGUGUACACCACCAUGAGCAAGUGUAUUAGUAUUUUUUCAAACAAUUUCCCAAAGGAGUUAGCCUCUCAAACUUGUCACGCCACUUGAUCCUAACACGUAUGCAAAGUUGGAUUGCUCAAGUGGCACUAGAUGACCGAUAUGCAAACAAGUUUGCCCCUCUUGAUAGUAUGGCCAUCUAUCCUAAAUCUAGUCAUAAUCUUCUCUACACACCUAUGACCGGUGAAAUAGAAAUGCCCUAGGUUAUACCUUUGCCUUGCGCAUUCUAUUUCAUCUCCUCCGAGAUUGAUGCAACACAUGCAUCAACCAAUCAUCAAAUGAUGUGAUCCACUUCAUAUCAUCACGUGAUCGUAUUGAUUCAUCGAUCUUGACCUCACUUGCUCUUCACCAUUGCCUCGGUCCAUCGGCGCCAAGUCUUGCUCAAGCUUCACCGUAACACGUGGUCCCUCGCUUCAAAGCCUCUCACUUGCCCUUCACUCUUGCAACCGGUCUAUCAAACCAAGCCUCAUCUUGAUCUUCGCCACCUUGGUCACAUGACUCCAUGUCAUGUCUCAUAUGCAAUGAGCUCCUUCAUCAUCACAUAAUCACAUGUGGACUAAUCUCCUGUGUAGCUCACAUAAACACAAUUAGUCCACCUAAGUUGUCACUCAAUUACCAAAACCAAACAAGGAUCUUUCAAAAUUGCGUGUAUGCGCAUGAGCAGCGGAGGGGUGCGAGCGGGUCGGGGCAGCACAAGGUGGGUCCAAACGGUGCGGGAACCACAUGGGUGGGCACAGGUUGCAGACGCGCGCGGGGGGGAGACGGAGUGUAGGCCCGAGCGUCCGGACACGCGUAUCCGUCCGGACGACCGGGCGCUAGCAGUGCCCGGCUUAUAGCGGUAUUGCGCCAACUUGCAAGCGGGAUGUGGUGGAUGUGGAGGUAGGGAUUGAGGCAGGGUGGUGCCAUCCAAGGGCGUGCGGCGUUGCUGUAGGGGACGGCAACUGCUCAGCUACGGCAAGGGAGUGGCGGAGGCUGGAGGCACGCUAGUCGGUGGGGACACUGUGGCUCGCGGUGUUGCAGUGUAGCGAGCCAAAAAGUAGAUAGAAGAGGGAUGACAAGUGGGUUCGGUGUGUCUUAGAGUGGGACAGAGGGAGACUAGCAGGGGCAAAAGUGUCUAUAUAAAAAGUACAUUGGCUUUAGGGGUUCUGAAAAGGGAUCUAAUAUGACUUUAUGCGUCCAUAAUAAUGUAUUAAAUAAUUAUAAUAGCAACGGCAUAGUUUUUUUAAAUAGCAAUAAUGACAUGGUGUACUUAAAAAAGGGUAAAUUUAUAAUGGGACGGAUCCAAUUAACUAAAUUAACGUGCGCGUGCUUGCUUCCUGAUCCUGCUCAGUGCGUGCUGGCUGGUCAAAAUAACGAUGUCAAAUCAUAAAAAUGGGCCGGCAGACAAGAUCGAGGAGGGGAUGAAUAAUACUUAGGCCUGAUGGUAGUUUCAUAACACAGUUUUCUACAUACCUAUAUUUUGUAAAUAGUAUAAAAGAGUUUUAUCCCCAUAAAUCUCUCUCUAUUUCUAUAAAACUUUUAUCACCUCUCUUUUUAUUAAUAUAGUGAUACAUUAGUAUAUUUAAUGUUCUUGAAACAAUGAUGAAACACUAUUAAGGCUGACCUUAGGCUCCGUUUGGUUUGUAUCGAUAAACUUUAACUUCUAUCAUAUUAAAUUUGGACACAUGUAUGAAUUAUUAAAUAUAUAUAAAAAUAACUAACUGCAUAGUUUGAUGAAAUUUGUUUUACGAAUCUUUUGAGCCUAAUUAGUCCAUGAUUGGAUACUAAUUACCAAAUAAAACCAAAAUACUACAAUACAUGUUAAACAUUAACAUUUCCAACCAAACACGUUCUUAGUAAUUGAUCCUCAAAACCAAACUUUUUUAAUUUAUGAUGAACCUAACCAAUCGGAUGCGUGCAAGGGGAGAGAGUACCUUGGGAAGCAAGGCAGACAGGAGUUCUAUUAUAAUAAUAAUGAGAAGGAUUUCCAUAUGUUGUCGUUGUACAAAGAAGAAAUAUGAAUAUGUUAGAGUGUUAAUCAUUAAGAAUCGGAAGAUGUAUAUGUAUGUAUUGGUAAUUUAGCAAUAUAUGUUAAUAAAUAAUAUAGUUAGCUAACGUGAGUAGUUUGAAUGAAAACAUAAUGAUAUGUGUUAGUUAGAUUUAUUAGUGGAUGUUGAUGUGGACACUUUAUACGGCGAGAUAGUUAAAUGUGUUAUAUGCUGGUAGUAUGUUCAAGUAGAUGUUAAUAUAGACAUUUUAUAUGGCAAGAGAAAUAGUAAGUGUAGUUUAGUAUUAUAAGAGAUAACGAAUUGUUGAGUUUACACCUACUACGGCCAGCCGGCAUUGCUUUCUUCUAGAAUCGAGACGACGUGGAUUAUUUAUGAUGCAUGAUGUCGUCGACACGUACGUUAUCGUGGCUCUCUCUUAGGCUAUUAGAAUAAGGAUAAUAAUACAUUUCACUUAAGGAUUUUUAGCUUAUCUAUAUAGUAGUUAGCUAUUUAUUAUUAAUAUAUGACUCAUGUAUCUUUUUUAUAAAGUUUUUUGGUUUUUUUGUUUAAGCUGACUGUAUCUAUAUAAUAUUUAGCUAUUCACUAUUAACAUAUGACCCAUAUCUUUUUUAUAAAGUUUUUUUGGUUUCUGUGCUUAAGCUGACUGUAAGUUUGCAGUCUGCUUCUCUUUUCUCUCCUCUCUUAUCUUUUUAUUUCAGUAUUUAGCCAGCUUAGAACCCGUUACUAUACUUGCUUUUACUCUCAGAAAUUAACGUGUGUUUUUUUUUCUCGCUCACUGCAGCCUACAGAAGAAAAAAGCUUUAAAAAUGACAAAGAAAAUAAAAAUUCUUUUCAGAUAUUUUUUAUCGUUCACUGCAGCCUACAGGAAAAAAAGCUUUAAAAAAAGACAAAAAAAAUUAAAAAUAGCUUACAGAAAAAAAAAAUAAAAAUGUAUGUUUUUUUUUCUCGCUCACUGCAGCCUACAGAAGAAAAAAGCUUUAAAAAUGACAAAGAAAAUAAAAAAUUCUUCUGAGAUGUUUUUUUAUCGUUCACUGCAGCCUACAGGAAAAAAAGCUUUAAAAAAGGACAAAAAAAAUUCAAAAUAGCCUACAGAAAAAAAACACUAAAAAAGACAAAAAAAAUCAAAAACUCUGUUGAGAGUGGGAUUUGAACCCACGCCCUUUCGGACCAGAACCUUAAUCUGGCGCCUUAGACCAACUCGGCCAUCUCAACUUUUUGUUGAAAAUAGUCUUAAGUUAUAAUUUUGUUACAUUGUUUCAUAGUUCAAAGUCAGCAGUAUGAACUAUCAAACUCGUCGUGGCUACGUGAACUAUGAAACUCUAACUCAAGACUACGUAAAUAGGUUUGCGUUAAAAACAGCAUUUCUGAGCUCGUCGUAGUGUGGCCACUACGAGCUCAUCCCCGUUGUUGUUUCACGAAUUUUUAGUGAUGAUCAGAAAUGCUGUUUUUAACGCAAAAAAACACUUAAUCAAGAGUUAAAUACUCUGUUGUGUAUCAAUUGAUUAGAUGCAUGGGUUAGCAUUAGUCUAGCUAGUGGAAACCUUCCACCAACAUAUUCUACUAGCAGUUGCCCGGGUUCUUUGAUGUCAUUCUUUUUUUUUUUCUUUAACAAAAAAACUAAACACCAUAAAACUAAUUUUUUAAUUUUCUUUUUAACUGAAAUUUGGGUCCAACUACAUUCUCUAAUGUUAGCCACGACCGGUAUACGAGUCUGAAAGCAUCAUGUACGGGUACGGCUGCUUAGCCUGUUUGAGUUGCUUUGCUAAUGAAUGAGAGCAUGCACAUACGGGAGAAGAGAGCCACGGCCCACGGGACGGGGCACACGCACACCUCGUUUUGGGCCUGGGCUGACAAGCACGCAGCAACAGACGGGCCUGCACCCGCUUGGGCCUGGUGGACCGUGUGGUUCAUGUGGCGGCAGGUCCACGCGCGGUGGGCUUUGCCUGGACCGGGCUCGCUAUUUUCAGAAGGAAAAACAACACCGCAAUAACACACACAAAAAAAAUAAUAAUAACCAGAAGUUCCUUCUUAUUUAUACAAAAUCACAAGUGAAGACAUGCAAACUGUGAUGACCUGUCACGCAUAACUUCCUAGUAUGCAGAAUGUGAUGAAGCAGGCAACAGCUCACAAUAUAACAGGCAGUGGAGACAUGCAGUCAGUGCUCACUACAGCAAACUGCAAUCCAUUCAGUUAAUUGAAUAGUGUUAGCAACCAUUGAUGCUUUCAUUCUGCAAUCCGUUCUUGUACUGACCAUUGAUGCUUUCAUAUGAAGGAAGACCUACCACAAAAAGGACCAGAAAGCAUGUAAGAAUGUAUUGAACACAUAUACACACAGACAACCCGAGGCCUUGUUUAGUUCCGAAAAAGUUUUGAAUUUCGGUACCGUAGUAUUUUCGUUUUUAUUUGAUAAAUAUUAUCCAAUCAUAGACUAACUAUGUUCAAAAGAUUCAUUUCGUGAUUUAUAGGCAAACUGUGUAAUUAGUUUUUGCAUGUGCCGCAAGAUUCGAUGUGUCAGGAAAUCUUGAAAAGUUUUUGGUUUUUGGGGUGAACAUGCCAUGAUCUUGUGCCACAUCUCAGAUCUUUAAUGGCUGUAUCUGUUUUGAGCACAUAUUUACAGUAGUAUCUCUCUAUUACAAAUUAUAAAUCAUUUUAAGAAUUUUGGAGAGUCAAAGCAUUUCAAGUUUGACCAAAUUUAUAUGGUAGGAUCAUAACAUUUAUGAUAUCAACUAAGUAUCAUUAGAUUCUUCAUUAAUUAUAUUUUCAUAGUAUAUCUAUUUGAUGCCACAAAACUUUGUAUUUUUUUCUAUAAUUUUGGUCAAAUUUGAGAUGCUUUGACUCUUCAAGAUUCUUGAAAUGACUUACAAUUUGGAAUAGAGGGAGUACCAAAUAAACGGUCAUUUCUAAUGGAAACGGUGCCAAUUGUCGUUAUUACAAAUUAAAAAAAAUACUCUUGAUGUACCAAGAGCUACAUACUACUACUAUGCUCAAGAUUUAAGACACUGCGAUCUUUUCCUAAUUUUUUCACACAUUAACUAAACUAAAUAACAUCGAGCUUGACACUUGGUGGGAUUGUUCUACUUAGGCAUGUCAUAGCUAUCCUCUUAUAGCUUCCUACAAAGGCGGUCCACUCUUUAUCGUCUGAUCACCAAGCGAAGUACUAUGUUAAUGUAUUGCGAUCAUCACCACGAGCUUCAUUGCAUGUUCUUGUUUUUUGGCACAUUAGACUGUUUAUCUAUGUUGUUGAUUCGAAAAAGGAUAAGCUUAUAUAUCCCAUAUAUCAUAUAUAGUAUCAGAAUUUACAACAUGUGGAUUGACAGAAAUAAAAAAUGAAUAAUAUCAAACGAGACAAAUGCAUCUUUGUAUGCAAUCAUCCAUCGUACAUGGAAAAUGUUUAUAGUUUACGAAGAACAAGAAAACAGUAUACCACCUAUCAAGCGUACUAAACUAGAUACCGUACACAUUGCUUUGUGCAAGAACGGCUCAAAUUUGAAUUAAAAUGAAGAUGCUGAUGUUAUGCACUAACCACUAAACAGGGCAGCAGGAGGCAUAAUAACUGAGAAGAAACAUAAACUAUGGACCUUUUAUAUAAAUUAGACUCGGCCAUUCAUUGAAGCUACAAAGGUUUGCGAGCAAAAUCUGCAACACACAGGCGUACUGCGCGCGUGAGAAAAGGGCCAAACUGCAAAUGGCCACAGUUUGCCACAAUGUCCAUUGUUAGGCCAGGACAAUAUAUAUUAUAAAAAAAAAUGGAUUGGGGGGGCAUGGCCCCCCUGGGUCUGGCAGUGUGCGCGCCCUUGGCAGAACUAUCAUCUACCAAAAGGGCAUAUAAUAUGUUACUGUUAGGCUGAGAAUUUUGUGUUCCUCAGGAUCCGGUGUGCCUCCUCAAACUGCACUUCGCAGAAAGGUGAUUAGUGAGUGUCAUAGUGUUACAAAUAUACUUGUUAGGAAAAAAAGAGUUUGAUCUAUUCUCUAUUGCCUAAUCAUCCACUACUAUAUGGAGUGAUUGAACCGAAUCUGUUGUUGUUGCCUGGCUACGCCAGCGUGCGCGCAUUUGCCAGAACUGUCAUCUGCCAAAAGGGCAUAAAAUGUGUUACUGUUAGGCUAAGAAUUUUACGAACAUAGCAAAGAUGGUAAAAAUAACCUUGAGGAUGGAAUCAAAGGGAUAAUCCUCGCUUAGUGCCGAAUCAAUUAAUCUUUGAAGGCCUUCCUCAGGAUCCCGUGUAUUUAGAGCAUAGUAGAUUUUAGUUUCACAAGUGUAAACAUUUGACAUAUGGUUUGUGUAAUCUAAAUUCGAAUGAUGUUGCUUGGUUGCUAUAUUGCGUAAUAUGUGCUUGUACAUGUGCUUUCAUAUAUGCCUUUGAUUUGUGAAAAUAUAAUUUAAAUUUAAAUUCAAAUUCAAAUUCAAAUCAAAUUGCAGAACUUUUUUAAUACUAAAAUUAAAUUGAAGACGAGUGUUGUAAAGUGGCCGCCUUCAUUAAAACUUUAAUAGAGACGAUCGAUAUAUGGUGCUCGCCUCCAUUAAUCUAAUUAAUGGAGGUGGUCAAUAUAUGGUGCUCGCCUCUAUUAAUCUAAUUAACGGAGGCGGUCGGUAUAUGGUGCCCGCCUCCAUUAAUAGGAUUAAUAGAGACGGGUAGUUUAACCGCCUCAGUUAUUCGUUGAUUAACUGUGUCUUUUUAUUGGAAGCGGUUAGCUUUGUCCAUCUUCAUUAACCAAAAGCGAUCAUCUCCAAUAAAGUUAUUGUACAAGCGUGAGACGGCACGACUCCUCAUGUGCGCGUGCAACAGCCGCGGCGACUGAAUGGGGGUGCUAUCAUGCUCGAUCCACGGGGUGGGAAUGGUCAUCGCCCGUCGUCUCCUUCAACGAGGAAAUGAAACGGGUGGAGGAUAUGGGAGCAAUUACUUUAGAUUUGGGUUAGGGCUAAAUACCCGCUAGGUUUGAACGGGUCAAACCUAGGAGAGAAAAUAAUUAAGAAAAGGAUAAUUGGCUAAUAGAUGGCUUUGAGAUCCGUGUAAUUUUUUUAGAAAGAGGACUAUUGAAGCAAAAGCCCUAAUAAAUAUAUGUUCAUCAAACCAUGCUAAAUUACUUGUAGCAACACCAAUUUUCAGCUUCUUAGUGUUUUCCUACUAAUUCAGCCUUGAAUGUACUACUUUCCUGCCUAUAUUUAUUUACAAAGAUCCUUAACUAAGAAGCUGACUCGCGUCUCAGUCACGCAGGUCCUCGAGACGGUGUCGCAGGUCCUCGAGAAUUGGGGAUUGGAGGGACGAACUGGGACGAGUCGAGAAGAACAGCACACGAAAGGGAACGGGAUGGCGUGAUGAGGAGUUCUUAGCAGAAACCUUCUCUAGAUAUACUACGCCCAUUUCCGUGCACGCAGGCACUUCAGGCCCAGCUACCACCUAUAACUCUCUUGUUGGGCCUUCGCUCACGGACACUCCGUCGUGGCCCAUCUGCUCCUCCUUGGCGCGGUCCAUGUGGUGCGGUGCUAACAGGCUCCACCUUCUUCAGUCACGCAGGUCCUCGAGAUGGUGUCGCAGUCCAUCGACGACUGGACAUCGGCAGGUUUCGCCGCAGCUGCCGAUCGAGUUCGUUGUGCUGCCUAUAUCUCUUUAACAUCGUUCCCAAAAGGAUUGAGAGCCAAACACAAGUCCUCCAGAUAGCUUAUGGCUAGCUGGCACAAUAUCUUAUUCUUAUGGUCCAAAGAAGCUAGAUUCAUACUCCGUAUAUUUUAUCGACUGCAUACGCACUUUUAUUUUUAUGUUUUUACUGUUUCCCACUUAAAAAAAUCUUCUAUAAAGUUCAACAAAUUCCAGACUCCGCAGCAACGAGCGAAGAAUUAUCUAGUUUACACAAUGACAAUGGCAGCCAAACCAAUACUAGAACCAAAUAAAUCAUCAUUUCAAAUGAAAACGGUGCCAAAACGGCAGUUAUUUAUUACAAAUUUAAAAUACACUUGAUGUACCAAGAACUACAUACUACUACUAUGCCCAAGAUUUAAAGAGUUACACUGCGAUCUUUUCCUGGCAUCACACAUUAAACUAAAUAACAUCAAGCUUGGUACUUAGUGAGAUUGCUCUACUUAGGCAUGUCAAAGCAAUUCUCUUAGCUUCCUCAAAGGGCGGCGGUCCACUCUUUUUCGUCCAACUAUCACCACCAGAAGUACUACGUUUAUGUGUAUCUACAGUUAAAACCUCCAGUGCAGGAGCAUUUUCGACGACGUGUAACAUAAAUUCGACUUGUCCUCUUACCCCUUUGAAUCCAGUAAUCCACAUCUUCUUCAAACGAUUGUAGGGAUUGCAUUGCCCAAUGUCCUGCCUACGAGGACCCACGUCUGCCAACCAUAAUGAUGUAGUGCCACCAAACUGCAAAGAUAAACAGAACAAUGUUAUCCAUGGUUCAACCAUUUUAUUUGCAAUAUGUGUAUGCAUUUAAAUUUGGGUGCCCUAGCCCCUAGAUCAUAUGGAAUUGAAGUGCAGAGGGCAGGUAAUGCGACAACCCGUAGUAGGGCUUUGCUAUUGUAUGACCAUAUACUACCAAAUGAAUCAAGUAGAAAUGAACCUGAGUACCAAGCAAUCAAAAUUAGUUUAGCUAACUAUAAAUAGCAUGACACCAAGCAAUGCAAUCGAUCUAAGGCAACUCAUAAUUUUACCCAACUGAAAUGAAGAAAGCAAUCUGUGCAGCAGGGUCCCAGUUGGAUAAACAGGAGUGUGCUAAAUCUUUUAGCGAAUAGUGUCUGGAUAAUUGUUUCAAAUAUACCCUCUUCUUAGAAGCUACCAAAAUACAGCAAACGAAUGAAUCAACGCGUUAAUAAACACUUGCAUAACUAUUGAAAAAAUAAUUCCGCCUAACUUUUUAGACACAUCACCACAGAACUUAAAGAAGAGGAGAAUGCAGAACUGAUAACUCACCGAGGAAUAUAGAUAAAUGGAAUAGGAUGAGAAUAAAAAACAAACUGAAAAAUACAAUUAUCACUUACAUGAACCUCCAAAUCCUCAAUAAAAGGUGUGGCCCUCAGAAUUGAUACUGAAUAAAGAAUGCUAUCUUCAUUUCUGCCAGGUAUAUUCAGGUACAACUGCAAGUGCUUAAGACGGGAAAACUUCAAUGGGUUGUCCCACAACCAUUGCUUCUGAAACAUAAAACAUAAAAUAUCAUUGAACUAAAUUUUUCAGAUAAGUUAAAACAUAAAACCUAAAGAUUCAUAUAAGGGGCUUACCUUUAUUAGGUCUAGGCAUGCAAUACGGAAAGUUAGAUUUUCCACGUUAGGAAGACCGUUGAGAAUUGAUACGAGGACAUCCUGAAAAACUCCAGCGUAGAACAUAAUAUUUGCACUUUGUAUCUUCAAUGAGUGGCUGAGUCCAAUUGGUAUAAACCGUCCAUAGUAUUCAAAGGUAGUAAGAUUCAUAGCAUGGAAUUCUACCUUGGUUAUUUCGCAACAGUCAAUGCUCAAGUACAGUAGAUGGGACAACGGACCAUUCACCACCAGUUCAUCAUUGAGGUGACAUCUGUCUAUGCAUAGCCACUCAAGAUUACAACAAUGGGACAACACAUGUCCAAGGUCCUUUUUGUUGGCAUGCACUAACUGUAGAUGAAGUUUUCUUAGAUUUGGGAAACCUCUAUAGUGGGAAUGUGGUUUCAAAGAUACAAAGCUAAGCUGCAUAUGUUGUAGGCGAGAUAUACGUCCACUGUCUAAAAGUUGGAAAGGAAACACAAAGCGCUCGAGCUGAGGUUUCAAGAAAAAAUCUAUGGGCUUUAGAUCCAAAGUAAGGUUCUUUGUCCCUGACGAGGCAGCAAAACUAACCCAAUUAUUGAGAUGGUGAACUAGAAGGCUAUCAACAAGAUCCAUCCUGACUUCAAGUGUUUCAACCACCUUGUCAUGGUGUUUCUGCAGAACAGAAUUAACCUCGUGGAUAAAUCUUCCCGUGUGCUGGACUAAAUCCCACCUAUGGCAUUUGCACACUUGAACACCAUCGAAAGUCAAUCUGGGGCACACAGACCACGUGCAUCUCAACUUACUUGACAAAACAUUAGCCCUUGCGAACUCUUUUGGCGGGAGUUUGGACAUAAUUCUGUACACGACAUCCUACAGCAAUGACAUAUACCACAUCCAUGGAUUAGCCUGAAGUUUAGAAGUAUCAUCUAUAUGUAUAUACACCAAGAACAAAGCCCCCAGUCGAAGAGAAAAGAAGAAAGGGGAUGAAGUUGGACAUACCAUCGGAAGGUCUUCAAACCGAACUCUUGGCACUCCAAACUCAUGGAUUGCAUCUUCACCACGAGCAUCAUCGCAUGAUCUUGUUUUUUGGCACAUUAGAUUGUUCAUCCUUCUUCUAAGAAUACGUUGUUGAUUCGAAAAAGGAUAAGCCUAUAUAUCCAUAUAGCAUCAGAAUUAACAACAUGGGGAUGGACAGAAAAAACAAUGAACAAUAUCAAACGGGACAAAUGCAUCUUUCUAUGGAAUCGUUCCUUGUAUAUUGUGCACAUGGAAAAAGUUUAUAUUUUGCAAAGAACAAGAAAACAGUAUACCAAUCAUCACCUCAAGUAGCACUAAAAGACUGGUGAGGCUUGGCCAGAGCCCAGAAUCAAGCUAACAGUACGCACAAAAGAAAAAAAAAAAGGUUCGAUCUCAAAUUGGGUGGCAGAAGCCCGGAGAUGUUGCUUUUGCGCGACCGAAUGAGAGCGCGGGAGAGAGAGAGAGAGAGACGAGUUUGGGAGUGAGGCUCACCUCACGGCUCACAUCCACGCACGGCAGGGGGCGGAUCGACGGCGGGCGGCGAGGCGUGCUCGGGCAGAACGCAGGCGGCGGCGGACGGACCCGAGUUGACUUGCCAGAAAAGGACGAUGCGACACCGCUAUUGCUAUUUUCCUACUCCGUAUAUAUUAUAUGGAGCCUGAUUCGACAGAAUCCUGGACGGACGGGCGUUGGCGUUCGCAAUCCGAGGCGGAGGCGGCGCCGGCGACAGGCACUCCGGCAGUCCGGCUCGAGCUCGCCUCUGCAGCUGACUCGCGUCUCCAGCAGAGGCUUUGGGCUUUGGCGGUUUGUGGUCUCGGCCCAAACUUAGGCGACAACGGAGUCCGCUACAGGAGUGAAGAACAGCUUCUCCAAUCGAUAAUCCAAAAGCAUGAAAAUACAAAAAAAAAACACAUAAAUACAUCUUGCAAGAGCAACAAGUUAUGGAUCACAACGCCGUUUACAGGUCAAAACUACCUAUGCGGCAAAAGAAUAAAAUAGAUCCCACAAAUCAAUAAAGAGGAUAAGCACCUAGAUGUUACAUUCUUGCAGAUCGAGCACGGAGAUCAGAGAUCCUGCAGAUUGAGCGCAGGGAGUGGAGAUCCUGCAGAUCGAGCAGAGAGAGCCAGAGACGAGGGAGAUCCGUAGCAAGCCAACAACUUGUCAUCCUACUCGUGUCAGCUUUGCUCUGCUAUAGGAGAUGAACAGCAGGGGAUGGAGGAGCUCGUGUUGGCCCUGCUCUACUUGACGAGGAAGGAGAUGAGGAGAGGAGCUCACAAGUACGGGCAUGUGGAUGCAAGGGGAGCGCUUGGCGUUGGCCAGUGCAAGCGUCGGGAACUCCGUCCGCCUCGCUGCUUUCACAUUUGGUGGCGGCGCGGUGGGGUGGAACAAGAUAAUUUGGUUAGCUUACUUAUGUAUUGCGCCUCAUCAUGGGCUUUCAUGGGCCAGGUAGCUGGAAUCAUACACCGGCAGCUUAGCAGAUCGGGGAUACGGGGAUGGGGGAUGCAUCACCGUCCCUGCCCCCGCUAGACCCGAUGGGGGGUAUUUUUUCCCCGUUUAGAUCCCCGUGGGGGUAAAUUUAGUCCCAUCUCCGUUCUCUAAUAGGGGAAUUCCUCACGGGGAAUCGGAGAUCGGGUUCCCGUUGCCAUCUUUAGUUCGGGGCUGCGUGUCUGCGUGGGGAAAAGGAAAAAAAAACUAUUUAUCUUUUUUUAAGAUUUAGAAUUAAAUAAUACUUAGAAUAAUAAGUAUCAUUAGAAAGAUUUUUGAAUCUAAUUUUUUAAUAAAUUUAUUUAAAAAUAUAAAUGUUGCACGUAUUUUCUACAAAUCAAGUUAGUCUGAGAAAAAGUCGAGAGAUAUGCUGAGAUACACCAAAUCCAAAUACUAUUUCCAACUCAUGAAAAUAUAUUGAGAUGCUUCAAAAAAUAUUUAAUUAUAAAAAUAAAAAAAAUCAAUAACUAAGUUAUACAUGAUCCCAUAAGUAUUUAUAUUUAACAAGCAUAAACCUAAAUAAAUUUUAUAACUAAGUUAUACAUGAUCCAAUUAGUAUAAAAUUUUUACUGCAGUUUAGGAAACAAUAAUUAGCAAUAAUUAGACCAUAGAAACUUAGCUAUGAAUUAUUUCAUUUAAUUACAGAAAAGCAUAGAUCUAAAGUUACGCCCUCUGUCUCUGAAAGCUUCAACUCCUAGAAUCAGUGUCAGUCAAACUUUUUUAAAUUUGACCAACUUUAUAGAAAAGAGUAUCAAUAUCUAUGACAUAAAAUGAGUAUAUUAUGAAAAUAUAUUCUAUGAUAAACCUAAUGAUAUUAAUUUGGUAGUACAAAUCUUAGCGUUUUUUACUAGAAAUUCGGCCAAAGUUUAGGACAAUUCUAAAAGUUGAAGCUUUCAAGGACAAAGGGAGUACAACAAAAACUUUGUACUAUGAUUUUUUUAAAGAUUUAGCUCAAAUAAAUAAGAAAGAUAAAGAUAAAACCGCCUUCAAAACCGCUUAUAACAUGGGUAGGAAGGUAAAAUGAACGGUUUUAAAAGUUGAGGGGUGUGUUUUACUUGAUUUUAGAGUUGAAAGAGAAAAGGUGGACUUUCAAAGUCCUUUUAGUAAUUAGUUGUAAGGGAUAAUGAAUAUUGUAAACCAAACUCUGGAAUUCUGAAAGUCCUGUUCGACACACGCUUUUUCCCCUUUUCGAAGUUUUUCACCUUCCAGCUUGUGGUAAACAAUUGGUACAUCCUAUAAUUCGAGCUACCGCCGCACGACCACUUCACCCGGCUCUGACAAUCCCGCGGUGCCAUGGGGCCCAACCUCAAGCUCGUCCUCAAUGACCGUGACCACAAUCUGCGAUUCCAUCAUCGACAAGCGUCGCCGCCACCGAUUUUGCCACCAAACCUAGGAGGUCGAAGCCCUCGUCGACGACCUCAAACCGGAGCUUCAAGAUUGCUAAACACUUGGAUCACAUGUGUUUGACGUACGCAUCAUCGCACCAGCCUAGGAUCAUCCCUUCUCUGAUGUCGGUGGGCACGUGUCCACAUGUCAGACUACUAGCCGACGGGCCCAACAGGCACUUCGAUGCAUCAUCUCCCCAGCCUAGGCGACAAGGGAGUGUGCUGGCGCAGGAGAUAUAGCGGCCCAGCAUCUGUAAGGUCCAAAUGGCUAGAGGGGGGGUGAAUAGCCUAUUUAAAAAUUCUACAAACUUCAACUAGUCAAGUUGAUUAGUAAAACAAAAGGCGAAGCUAUUCUAGCACUAGCACAACUAAGCUAUGCAAGCCACCUACACAAGUCUAGCAAGAAAGCUAAACACUAGUUACAACAAGAAAGCACAACUAGAAGCUUGCUACACUCCUAAACAAGAAAGCUAAGCUAAACAAGCUACACAACUAGCAAGGUAUAUACAAAGGUAAAGGAGAGGGGAGUGAUUGUUAUACCGACGUUGUAGAGUAGAAAUAUAUUCAAUCAAUCACUCACAAACACAAGAGAAUCCUCGGUAAGAGAUGACACAAGAUUUUUUACCGAGGUUCACUUGCUUUCCGGCAAGCUACUCCUCGUUGUGGCGAUACACCCACUUGAUGGAUCACGAGCUAAUUGGCAAUCCAAAGCCAAACCCUCAGCGGGUGCCGCACAUCCACUCACAAGAUGGGGAUCCUCCAAGCCACGAGCAAUCCACUAGAGUAGCCAAUUGCGAUCUCCCGCGGGGAAGGCUCAAGAACCCCUCACAAAUCACUUGGUGAGGCUCGAAACAAUCUCCAAUCACGAGCUCAACACCACUGCUGCUCCAAGCCGUCUAGGGCGUCGGGAAACACCCAAGAGUAACAAGAAAUCCGCAGCAAACUCAAGAAUCAAGUGCCACUAAAUGCAACUCUCAAAGCAAUGCACUUGAAUCUCACUCAAUCUCACUAGGAUUAGCAAUCAAGCAAGGAGAUUAGUGGAGGGAGUGUUCUCUAGCUCAAAGUAUGUCUCAAGUAAUCAAAUGUGCAAGAGAGAACCUCCCAAAGCCGGCCACCUUCUAUUUAUAACCCCCUCAAAGAAACUAGCCGUUGGCUGUUUUCACUGGGCUAAAAACGGGGGCACCGGACGCUACUAAGUGAGCACCGGACGCUCGACUCCCUGCGUCCGGUGCACUGGUGUUGGCCACGUGUCCUCUUUGAAUUCCGCGUGUCAGAUUCUAACGGUCACCUGCGCACCACCGGACGCUCUGUAGGUCCACACCGGACGGUCCGGUGCUCACCGGACUCGUGCGCAGAGAGGGUUGCAAAAACCCCUCACACCGGACGCUAACCACCGGACGCACUCAGAGAGCGUCCGGUGCUUAACCCUAGCAGGGUCAAGCACACCGGACUCUGAGGCCAGCGUCCGGUGCCUCCGCACUCAGCGUCCGGUGAGUGUUUCUCAGAGAGAAAACACUCCCGCGACUUCUCCAAAAAAAAACCACCGGCGCAAUAGAAAAUAUACUCUUAUUUUUCUCAAAAGCGCCGAAUCCCGCCUCGCAAGCUCGGCGGGAGGGAGAGAGGAACCCACACCCCUCUCAACCCUAGGAAAACUGUAACAGAACCGACCAAAUUAUAAGAGAUUAAGCCUAAUAGUGACCAUUUGCAUAGUCGAACCAUCACGCUUAAGCCCAUAUAAUCCCGGUAGUCCGUGAAAUCUCGAAGGAUUUCAAACCACACAUCGCAUAACAGCCAAGAUCGUAAUAAGUUUAGCGGUCGCCAUCCACAAGCACAUCCAGAUUACAACAUUCAUAAAAUACAUCGGAGUGCUUAAAGUUAUUACAAACCAAGUUCUUUAAGUAGCGGAAGUUUCAUAGUUUGAAAUUACAACACACACGAUAAGUCUGAUACAGUGCCAUAGUUCGGUCAUUCCCACAAAAGCAAAAGAAGAGACGGAGUGACCAUUGCCCUUGGUCUAGUCAUCCCCCAUAGCUGGGUACAGGCAGAGGAUGCAAUAACCAUAAUACAUUUGACCAUCUGCAAAACAACAUGGGAAUAGAACCCUGAGUACAAGAAGGUACUCAGCUAGACUUACCCGUCAUAAACUUAAAAUAAAGACUCAUCAAGGAUCAUGAAGGCUAUUUAGUGGGGUAGCUGACAACCACUUUGCAAAGACCGCAAGGUUUUAUUACCCGAACCUACAUAAAUCUUUUCUUCUUUAAAUCUGCUCAAGUUGAAAGUAUCAUUAUCUAUUAUCUAGGUUUGCUCCUGUGCUAUUACAAGCAAGUAUGAGACUAUGAUAGUACCUCCUCACAGCAGUCAUAAACCCGUUUCAUUAAACCCAAGUGUUCCAUAGUCCAUACUACGAGGACAUGGCUCAUGUCAAGUGCUCACUAUCCAGGAGCGAUGGCGAUUCGAAUCGAUUUCUAACCAGCUGACGAGGUAUUCCCCACACAAACCACACUCACUGAUCAAGUGAGCUACAGAUCACCGUAUUACACUAUCCAGGACCAAUUCGCGGGUUCGGCAGGCACCGCCAGUACCCGAGGACCGUUCCGGCGACCGAGGUAUCCAAGGUAUACCAAGGUUGCGCGCCGCGCCCUCGUCGUUCUCCUCAACCACCACCAAUACAGCGCAUGGCGGCUCGAUUCCCGGCCCGGAUAGUGUUCAGGCUUCGCGGUCGGAACGACUUAUCCUUCCAGCUAAGUGUGGGGCAUGCGUUCAACAUGACAAGAGGGCCGUCAACGAUCGGUCCUUAAUCGACACAGGCAGGGGCACUAUGGGCAACCCACCAUAAGACCCUGCCCGGUCUCCAAUUACUUUCCACACUUGGUUAUUUCUUUCCCCAGCAACCACUGCUUAAUCAAGCAGGUAUCCACCUAUAUCUCGCAGGUGACAGGACAUCACCCGACUUCUACCGGACUAAGCAAGCUAAGCAUAGACUCCGCGCCUAUCUACAUAGGACAAGGUAGAUAACGAGUAGGGAUAACAAGGAGUACAUAUGCAGCAACGGUAUCAGGCAACUCCUAUCACGUAAUAUGCAAAAUAGUAGAAUAAGUAUAGCACUUUAUAUAAGUUAGCGAGAAUAGGGAGACUUAGAAUGCUCCGGGGCUUGCCUUUCUCAAACGUGCUGGGUCGGUGAUCCGGGCACUCUUGCAGUUCCUCUCCGGGCUCUUGUGCUUCCGGAGGUUCCUGCUCCUGAAGCUCCUCGGGUUCCUCGGUUCCCACCUCGUUCUCCUGCGAGCCUGUAUGAUGCAUAUAUGCUCAUGAGUGGAGUGCGGGAUGCCCGAGUGGAUGCUUAUAUGAGAGAGUACCAAAGGAGUCAUGUCAUGAUGCAUAGAUAAUGCACUUGGGCAUGCUUAUUACAAGGUAGUCAGCAUCAUCCAAGAAUAAACAAUUGAACCAAACAUCUAUUACAUUCUCUUCUAUAAUUAUUUUUCAAAUGACAUCAGCAGCCUACAUGAUGCUUCAAAGAUACACCAAACCCAACUUAGUCCAUUCAACCCAUAUACACAACCAUUCAAAGUUUUCUUUAUUCAUUUCUAAGCCCAUUAAAAAUCACAUGCAAUUCUGUUCCUCAAUAAAUUCCAGAAAAAUUACAGGAGACUACUAGCUAAUCAUAAAGUCUACUGUAAAUUUUUCAUAAUUUUUGGUUACUUAUUUUGAGCCACAAAAAUCACAAGAUUAAUGGAUAAGGCAAGUAUAAUCACCCUACUGUGAUAUAAGUGUCAAACAACAGAUUUCAUAUUUUUAUAAUUUUUCUAAUAUCAUAAGAAACAUCCACAAAAUUUUCCAGAUUUAUUGCAUGACUCAAUUAAUUAUUAAAAAUCAUAAAGUACUGCCAUGCAAGCAUUUAAAUUACCAUAAAUUCAUUUAUUCACCAAAUAAUAUGUAACAAUAUUUUCUCAGUGAGUAAACACACAUGCAGAUCCAGCAAAACAAGUUUCACAUUUUUCUGAGCCAUAUUUCAUUUACCAUGCAUUUUCCAAGUUUAACAAAAACAUGGAUUAAUUAUUCUUACACAGAAAAGUUAUUCAAACAUGACAUGCAAUCAUACUAGGAUAUAGAUCUGGAAAUAAGGAACACACCAAAAUUUAUUUCACCAUUUUUGGAGCUAUAUUCAUCAAGAUAUGGAUUUUUGAACAUUUAAAUUAUUUUCUGGAAAAACUUUUAAAACGAAAAACCACCUAAAACACUAAACGCACCCGGAUCCAUCCCCUCGGAGUCACUGACAGGCGGGACACGCGAGUCAGAGGACCCCACCUGUCACCCACCCCGUGACCCCGCUAGGUGCACCCGGUGCAGUGCACCCGCGGCCGCUGACGAGCGGACCCGCCUGCCAGCAGGGCCCGCUGGUCAGAGCGCAGAGGGGGGAGGAGCUCCGGCGAGCCGGAGCUCACCGUCGGCGACCCCUUUCGGCGAAUCAAGCGGCUCUACACGUUCUACGGAUCACGGCGGACCUAGGGCACUCAUUUGCGCGGCCUAAAACGGACCGGAGCAGGCUCGCCACCGGCCAUGGCGGAGCGGCGGCGCUGCUCGUCGUCGGUACGGGACGCCGGCUCGGUAGAGCGUGGCUGGAGGGGCUUGCGAGCAUCGCGGUGCCAAGGCGAACACGAUGCGCCAACUACGCAGCACCGGAAGGCAUGGAGACGCGCGGAUCACGCGUGCGGCGGCGGAGCUCUUGCCGGAGAAGAAAGCGAGGGCGAGCGGGGCUCACCGUGCCUUACCGAGCGCUCCGAUGAGCGUUUCGCAACGGCGGAGCGAAAGCGAAGCUCGGGGAAGAACUAAUUGAAGAAUGGCGCACGCACGGAGGAGGAACAGCCGAGGCGGAGCUCGGGCUCCAAUGGCGACGGCGGCGCUCCGCGCGCGCGGGGCGAGGGCGAGAGAGCGAGAGAGAGAGAGCUGAGGGGCGCAAAUGGGAGCGGGGGCGGAAGCGAGCGCGACCGGGGCGCUUUGGUGGCCGACCGGGGCGCGUCCUCGCUGCCGCAUGCCCGCCACGCGGCGGCCGAGUCCUGCCGGCGCGCCACGGCGUCGCGGCGAGGCCGUCCGCGCGCGGACGCGGGCGCGAGCGCGGGGAAGGGGGGAGGGGAGAGCGCGGGCGGGCCGAGCCGGCUUCGGCCAGUGGGCCAGAAGCGAGGCCGCGGCCUGCUAGCGCCCCCUUUUCCCUUUUCCAUUUUUUUUUUAAAUUUCUUUUCUCAAAUCCUCUUCCAAAAGCAUUUUGACUAUUUUCAAAUCAUUUUCACCAUUUUCACCCAAAAGCAAAGUUGUUCCAAAACAAAAACUCUACCACUUUGCUUUAACAAGCAAAACCAAAUUCCAAACAGAAUUUGAAUUACAAGUUAAAACUCAGUUCUAGGUUUUAAUUAAAUUCUUUUUGGAUAUUUUUGUAUAAAUUCCAUUUCUCAAAUCCCAUAGCUCCAAAAAUUGCACAAAAAUAUUCUAAAUUCUUCUCACACAUAAAUCAACCUAAUUUGAAUUUUUCACAAUUUUAGAAGCAAGUAUCAUAUUCUUAACAUAUUUAAAACACAUGAAAUGAAGCACAUAAAAUCAUAAUUUGCUCAAGAGUGUCAUGCUCAUGAUGCUUAUGCUUGAUGGAAUGCUUAUGCAUGGCUUUGGUGAGACUAAGUGCAUGCUUAACACCUAGGGUGUUACAAAAACCACCUCCUUUGUAAAUGUGCUAACACCAACAAGUGUCCACCACCAAAGUGCACGUGUGUUAGCUUUUCACAAACAUUUUCACCAAAGGAGUUAAGUUAGCACUUUACUAGAUCCUAAUGCAUAUGCUCAAGAUGUAGACCUAGUAGCACUUGAUUCGAGAGAUGACCGUGAUUUCCCCUCUUAAUAGUCGGCUAUCUAUCCUAAACCCGGUCAAUCACUUCUCUACUCAUCUUAGACCGGCAAAAGUAAAACCCUAUGUUUAUACCUUUGCCUUGAUAACUUUGCUCCUUGUCUAUCAUCAUGAUCUCCACAUCAAGCUUCAUCUCUUUGUAGUCAUGUGGCCACCUUUCCAUGCCACCAUGCACCUUCAUCACAUGUGUUGCUAUGCCUAACUCAAAUCACUUAAACACAAGGCAUUAGCAACUUGGUGUCAUUAAUUACCAAAACCAAACUUGGGCUUUCAGCAUCUGACGGUCUCGGUCCGAGACGGGAUCAAACUUAACGGAACAAUUAUUGUCGAUAGUAAAUUGGCGAAUAUAGAUGGACAUUAUUAAGACGUAAAGAAGGAGACAACUCUAUAGAGCCAGUGGCAGUGGCAGGUAGAAUAGAGCUAUUACUGACAACAAUGGAUGGAGGAGUAGGAUACCGCGGGAAUAGAGCAUGUGAAAGAGAGGAGGACUAAGAUGUCAUAUAUGAAGUAACACUUGAGUUGAAGAACCACUCCUUGGACGAAAGAGGGGUCAGCGACGUUGUGCUGAAGGCGGAGGCGAGGGCCGUCGGGUCCCAAGAAGGGAGGUCGUCCAUAGGGUUGUAGUACCCCGGAGCGACCCACUGUCUAGAGCCAUCAGGAGUAGCGACGACAACAGGCUCCUGGUGGGCGAAGAGUGCCUACAAUUGCUGUUGGGCGAGGAGAGCCUGCUGCUGUGCUUGUUGCUAUGUCCGCAGGUGAGUGGGCAUCGAGAUGGGUGCUAGAGGAGGACGAGGGCCCCCGUGGCCACAGCUGACGUGGCCACAGCUGAAUGGACCUCAUCCACGGGUUGUAGAAGCUGGGCCACGAGCGACCACCAGUGGUAGGCUGUUGCUGUUGCUACAUGCCAGUAGGCUGCUACUACUGCUGGGGCGUGGCCCCUGUCCUGCAGAGGCGCCACUGUCACUGCUGCCUUUGUCGCUGCUGCCGAGCUUGCUGCGGCGGUUGUUCGAAGACUUGGGGCCUCCUCCAGUGCUGCUGGCGCCCGUGUUAGAGGACACAGGAGCAGGACUAGGAGAGUGCAAUGUGGUGGAGAUGACAAGCACAGUGGCAGGGGCAUCCUUCUGGUUCUCCAGGGUGAGCUUUUCGAGGAUGAGGUCGUCACGGGCCUCCGGGAAGGAGGGGAAGGGCCGGGCGCGACGAAGGAGGGUCCCGACAUGGCUGAAGCGCUCGUUGGGACCGCGAAUGACAUUGAGGAUGAGAGUGCGGUCAGUAACAGGCUCACCAAGAGCUGUGAGGUUCUCAGCCAUCUUCUUGAGCCGGCGAUAGUAGUCGGUGAUGGAGAGGUUGUCCUAGAUGAAGUUGCAAAACCGCGUCUCAAGGUGAAUGGCGCGAGCCUCUCGGUUGCCAAGGAAAUGUGACUCGACGGCGAGCCAGGCAUGCCAAGCAGCGGAGCCCUGAGCGGAGAUGAUCUCGGCAAGGUCAUCGUUGAGCGUGGCGAUGAUCCAAGACUUGACGCAGUCCAUUCGAUCCCAGUCAGGAGACGUUGGAGCCAGGGGUUCCGCGCGAACGUGAUCAUGAACAGAGAACUUGCCGAGGACGAGCAAGAAUUGAUCACGCCAGCGGUUAAAGUUACCGGAGUCGACGUCAAGGAUGGUGGUGACGUGGUUCCGAAUGUUGUUGACAGCGACGACGUGGGCAUGAAGUUGCAGAAGAGCAACAGCUUCAUGAUGAAGCAUGGCGGCGCGGAGAUCGUCAAUCGGCGAUGGUGCACCUCUAGGUGCCGCACCGGAGGAUUCACGUGCAAUUGCGGCAGCAGCGGUCACACGCUCCUUGGCGGCACACGCCAGGGCCUCGCUGGCACGCUGGGCGGCGGUGUCACGAUCCUUAGUAGUAGUUGCCUCCUCCUCCUCAGCGUGCAGGGCAUGUGCCAGGGUAGCAUCACGCACAUCCUAGUGUUUGCGCUCGAGACGUUGAGCGGCGGCGACAGCUUCGUUUGCCUUCUCCUCGGCGAGGUGCUGGACAGUGGCAGAGGAGUGUCAUUCCUAGCCUUGGGGGUAGGCAGAGGGUUCGGUGCCAUAGGGCGCAACACAACAAAGAGGACCGGCGCGCAGGGGUGUGGGCAACGGAAGAAAAAAAAUAAAAUAAAAUAGAAUAAACUAAACCUAGGCUGCUGAUACCAUAAGAGCAAAUAGAUCUCAGGAAUUGAUUGAUGUAUUGCAUUGGGCCUUAUAGAGUGAUUAUAUAGGGUAUAUAGGACUAACACCCCAUAUAGAUAGACAAUGUGGUACUAUUCCUAUUUACUAUAACAUUGAGCAGCCAAGCCAAAUAGGCUUGGGUGCCAGGCCCAUGGCCAGCCCAUAGGGCGCCUAUUCUAACACACAUAUUUGGAAAAUUUAUUUAUCGACCACCACUUGUAUGCAAUUAUGAUGAGUAGAACAAGGUAAUCCUUCUAUGAAAUCUAGAGAAACAGUGUGCCAGACAUGAGGAGGGAUUUGUAAGGGCAUGAAAAGACCUGGAUACUUGACUCUUUCAGGUUUUGUUUGCUUGAAAAUGGUGUAGGAAGUAACAAACAGGUGCACAUCUUGUUUCAUCCGCGGCCAUGCAAGCAAGGCUUUCAGUCGCUUGUAGGUAACUAGGAAGCCUGAAUGAUCCCCUAAAGGACUGGAAUGCAGUGCCAACAUGACUUGCUCUUGUAUCUUAGUAUUGUUGCCGAGCCACACCUGCCCCUUGUAUCGGAUAACACCAUCUGUGAGAUGGUACUUGUUCUUCAGCUCACCACUAGCUAAGGUUGCUAGCAAGGCUUGUGCUUGUGGAUCAGUGAGGUAUCCCUGCUGUACAGCGCCAGCCAUACUAGUUUAGACACUGAAAUAAAACACAGAUUCAACUGUAAAUGUGCUUGGUAGAGCUGCAUGUCUGGAUGGCGAGAUAAAACAUCAGCACAACGGUUGUCCACCUCCAACUCCAACCCUUUCUUAUACUGAAUCUAAAGCUGGAGAUGCAUCAGCUUGGUUAGUGCCUUUUGUUGAGUGGCGUUGAAACCCGUUGUUCAGUUAAAUGAAUAAGACUCUUCUGAUCCGUCUUGAUGAGAAACAUACCAAUGUUGUAGAUAGGGUGCCAGUGAUCUACUGCAUAUAGGAUAGCUAGGCAAAGAUGAAUGCAGAGAGGCCAUUUUUUCAGUCCUAAAGCCUUGCUGAUGAAUGCAAUUGGAUGUCCGUCUUACUGCAAAACUGCCCCAAUACCCUUCUCACUUCCAUCAGUUUCCACCACUUUGUUUAGAAAACUUUGGAAUGGCUAGGACCGGUGCUGAUAGCAAGGCCUCCUUAAAAAUAGAAAAUGUUGUUUGGGUCUGAUCAGCCCACAAAAAGGUUUGACCCUUCUUGAGCAAUGUUGCGAGGGGCUUGCUGAUGACUCCUAAGUGCUGCACAUAAUGUCUAUAGUACCUAGCCAUCCCUAGAAAACUCCUCCCAUCCUUCACACAUAUGGGUGUCGGCCAACAGUGUACAAUCUGCACCUUGACAGGAUCGGUAUCAAUCCCUGAUGCGCUGAUAAUAUGCCCCCAAAACUCGAGUGUGUUAGUGGCAAAGUUACACUUCUUGAGCUUCAGAUAUAACUGAUGCUUACGGAGGAGAGAAAAACUCAUUCCACCAAAUGUUGUUGAUAGUCCUUACUAUAAACCAAAAUGUCAUCGAUAAAGACUACAACACAUUUUUGGAGCAGAGGAGCUAACACUGUGUUCAUGAAGCUUUGAAAUGUAGCGGGUACACCGGUUAAGCCAAAAGACAUCACCUUGUACUCGUAAUGCCCACUGUGAGUUUGGAAGGCUGUUUUGUACUCAUCACCUUCCUUGAUGUGAAUUUGAUGGUAGCCAAAACAGUGAUCCAAUUUAGAUGCAGCACCAGAUAAUUGGGAUCGGUAACAUACUUUUCACAGUAUAAGCGCUCAGCUAGCAGUAAUCCACGCACAGUCCCACUCUUUAUCUUCUUCUUGAUCAGUAGAACCAGUGAGGAUUGAGGAAAAGGGACUGUAAUUAUGUUGGAUGAUUCCACUUGAUAGCAUCUCUUGUACUUACCUCUUGAUCUCAUCCUUCUGUUGUGGCGUGUACCAGUAUGGCCAAGUCUAAAUGGUUGAACUAUGACAACCAAUGGAAUAGCAUGUCAUGACUACGGUUCGAAGGAAGACCUGUCGGCUCAGCAAAUAAGAUAGCAAACAGCUGGACAAAGGCCUGGAUCUCUCGCUGAGAUAUACUCUGCCCCUCUGGAAUAUUAAGUGUAGAUAGCUCCAACAGAUGUUCCACUACCUCGUCCUUCAGCAGCCCUUCCAAUUAUUCAAUACUUAUAAAAUUACAGCAUGAUAUAUUUGGCAGGAUACCUUGCAGCUUCGCCUGUUUACCAUUAGAGUGGAACGAUAUCCAUUUGUUUUUCCAGUCCACCUCCAUAGGGCUGAAAGCUUCAAGCCAAUCCAUGCCUAAAUACCAUGUCAUAUACUCUAAGUGGCAACACCUUCAUAUCUGUGAUGAAUGUGUAUCCAUUUUUUUUAGGAAAUGUAAGUGCUAUCUUGACAAUGAUUUCACACGAGUGAACCUGAGGCCCGUUAGUUACUGAGCUCCUCAAUGCAUUUGCUAAGAUAAGACAGUGAAAUGACGAAAUACAGAACAACCCUGUGCACCACUGCACAAGUCUCACAAGGCAAUAUAGAACCUUCCUCACAUGUUUGUGUAUGCAAACUCAGUUCUGGUUGCCCUCCAUACUUGAAUUAGCUAAAUUGAUGAGCCAAUAUUCUGUUGCAAAUGACCUGAUGUAUUUCAAAGGUCUUAUUGAUAUGGAAUGUCUGCAGUCGAAAUUAGAAAAAUUGGAGAAGCUAUGUAAUUCUAAUAGUUGUGUGCCAAGAACUCGUUUGGGGAUUCCACCAAUUUAGCAUGUCCCACAAAACAAUAAAAAACAUGGUGACUGCAGGCAGCAAAGUAACAUGCAUCCUACAACAAUUCAAUACUACCAUUACAUGGCCCGCCGGCCCAUCAUUGCCACGCAGGCAUCUAGUCAGAAUCACAAAACUUGAGGUCAAAGAGUAACUCCAUAGCAUCUAGUUCCUGCAAUAGCUCCUUCACUGCGCGGGCUUGAUCAUUGUCCAGCCCAUAAUCUAACACCAUGAAGUACAACUUAGAUCGUCCGGAGUUAUUCCAUCUUUCAACUGCAUCUCUUACUUCCAUUUCGUUGGACACAACAAGAGCUGUCACAUGUUCUGUGGGAGGUACAACAGAUUGCAGUUUCUCAAAUACUUGGCCCAUAAGUUCAGCUGCCUUUCUAGCCUUACUAAUACGCAAUGAUGCAUUGGCAGCGAGAGUGCACACCGGUAUAGGUAAUAUAUAAUCAAGCAACGGACCAAAUUGCCCAAGCCAUUUACAUCCUUUUUGUAACCUCUCAACAUUGCUCCUAUUGUUUUCAAAUAUAUUCACAACAUACUUGUUGUACUUGUUGUGUAUGAGUCUAGCACUCCAUGAAUUGUCCUCUAACUUUAGUUCAUAGCAUCUGUCUGCACAAGAGACAACAGGAUUUUAUUAGUUAUUAGCACAACAGAAAGGCACAAAAAUUUAUUAGUUAUUAGCAAAACACAAAAGGUACAUAAGAUAUUAUAGUUACUAGGAGGAUUCCCCACGCGUUGUCGUAGGUAUGAAGAAGGAAUAUAAAUAGGUUAGAAUGUUAAUCAGUAAGAAUCAGGAGAUAUAUAUGUAUGGUGUUGGUAAUGCAGCAAUAUAUGUUAAUAAAUGAUGUGGUUUGCUAAUGUUAAUAGCUUGAAUGAAGACAUAAUGACAUGUGUUAGUUGGAUGUGUUAAUGGAUGCUGAUGUAGACACUUUGCAUGACGAGAUAGUUAAAUGUGCUAGUAGGAUGUUCUAGUGGAUGCUGAUAUGGACAUUUUACAUGGCAAGAGAAUGCACUCUGCUGCAGCAAAGACUUUUGGGUCAGCAUGCGCUGUCCAUCUCUUGUGUUGUAGCAAGUAAGGCAAUAGGCCACCUAAGUACUAUAGUUGGUAGAGGUACAUCAGCCAUGGUAGUGGGCUGAUCUAAGACUUGUACUAGAAGUACUAGGAGUAGGUAGUUGGUGUACACACCAUACCUUCAGUGUACCUGGUAGAGGUACAUGUAGGUGUAUAUAUACUACUUCAAUGAAAUUGGAAAAGGCAGUUCAGGUUGCCACAUUUAGAGGUUCAGUUUCAGCCAACGCUGAAACAGCGUGUGUGACUGUGUGUGUUGAGCUCCAGGAGGUCUUCUUCUACCUCUAGCUGGUGGGGUGAGUGAGGGUAGCUUAGCAGCUCACCUGAGCUUGGUUUGUAGGGGCCAAUAGAGAAAUUGCGAGUGGGGUUUAUCUUUAUAAGAGAUAUAGAUUACACACCUUUUAAAUUUGUGUUGCAGUUCACAAUCUCAUCAGAUUGUAUCAUUUCCCAACAAUUCUCAAUAUCCUCAGCCACCUCUGGCAUGCCAGAAAUGUCUUGGUCUUCCACCCUCUCAUAGAAAAGAAUAUAGGCCUCACUGUUGAGAACUUGUUCAAGAGUGACUUGUCCAAUGCAAUGGUCGUUUGCACGAAACCAUGAGGAAGAGCAGCUGCUACCCUCUUGCUGAUUUCCAAGCCUUCUUGCUCUAACGUAGGCAAUGUAGUGUCCUGACCUCAAGGUAUCCUUGCCAAUGUGCUCUACAACACCAGCUAGACGAUAGCAGGUGCUACCUUCGUCAACAAAGCUGAAUAUUGGAGAAAAUGAAACAGAAUUAGGACCAUAUGGUCAUAAAUUAAUGCAAUCUUUUACAAAUAAUGCCAUGCCUUUCUUGGUCAUGUAUCCUCAUAACUGAACAUUGUCAACAAGACUCCUCUGUCAGAUAAACACCCACGAUCCCUUCUCGAGUGAUCAAUCAUCUAUCAAUGAAGUUCUCAACAAAUAAAGGCUAUAGAAUUAAGAAGGCCUUACACAUUUACCUUUCUCCCCCCCCCCCAAAAAAAAAAUUUAUUUAUAUAUUUGAAAGACCAAUACCAGAAGCCAGAACUGUAGCUAGAUGCAAAUAGAUACUGAGCUCCCAGAUAUGAUAAUUCUAUUUUACAGUGAAGUAAACAAUACAGUGCAUCAGUGAACUGGGAUUGUAGCAGACGAUCUGUGUGUUCCAUUCAUAUUCAAAUGUGAUAAUUCUGUCACAAACAAACUCAAUUGCAACUGAUUCACUGAAGCAUUUUCCAACCAAACAAGAUUAUUUGAUAGAUUGAACAAGGUUCCGAUCAACAUCAGACUGUAGAAAAUAACUACAAAGAUCCACAGCUCCUAUGCAUAUCCUGGGUUGAAGGACCCCCACCUGUGUGUACUCUUUUUCAAUGAUCUAGCUAUCUUCUGUAAUUGUAAUUCGGCCAUGGGCCAUGUACUGAAACCUUCAGUGCUUUGGCACGGUCCAUCACCGGCUAGCCGGAAUCAAUGGAAAACCAAUCAGGUGGGGUCCCUCAACCCCCUCGGUGAUUGACUCAAAAAAGAGAAAAAGGGCAGUUGCUUCCCAAACUGGAAUCACAACUAAUUUAUAAACCUAGUUGGAUUAUUUGCAUUGACAUCUCAUUUCCUUUCUUCCUAAUGAAAAAUAAUACAGAUUUUGUAAGUUUCUAGAGCUGCACUGGCUCCAACAAUUACACCUGUUUAGACAUGUUAUUGAUGGCAUUUGUAUAAUUCUUUCACAUAGUUCCAAAUUCCAAAUAGGGAAGUACCAUAUGACCCAGUGUCCCAUUCCCAUCGUUUAUGAAAUGGCAAUGCAUUUUGAAUCUGACAUGAUGCUGGUAACUUUCAUAUGCAAUGUUAUUUUAUAGCUUUUUUUCCUUCUCAAACCUUUCAUUACUGCUGCAGUUUUUUUCUGCAUAUAAAACUUGUCCCUUUCAAACCUCUAUGCAAAUGAUGGAAAUUAUUCGAUUUUCCAGGAAAUUAACAUACUCUAUAUUUAUAUGGCAUAAAUUUUCACACACUAUAAUAAUAUAGCAUACUUAUUUCAAAAUUGUACGUUCAUUUGAAAAAAAAGAGAGAGACAAAUCUAAUGAGUAUAUGGCCACAAAGGCCCACAUGAUCACAAAUGAGAACACUGACGUAUGGGUAAAAAGAAUCAUUGACAAACAAUGCCAUGUGUUCUUAGUCUAGAGAAGGUCGUGUAUUGUUAAAGCUAGUAGGAAUGAAAUAAACAGAAAAGCUUACACAAUUAAACUUGCUACAAGUUAGAACUGCACAGAUGUACAAGGUAUUACUGUGAGGAACUAUCGGUACCUGGGGUCCAUGAACUGCUCUACAUCAAGGUACUCCAUAAAUCUCACAUGGCCACUUAUUUUGCUCCCAACAGUGUCAUGGCGGGAUCUCUUAAGGUGAAGAGUUAAUACAGGUGGAAGCAUGGUAAAACGAUAAAUCAUACUACUAUCUCCAACAUCAUCUGUCUCCACAUUUUUGCUGUCUUUCAAUAGGUAUGCUGUACGAGCCUGCUCUGAUUGCUUCACCGUUCCCAACAGGUCAGUCUGUUUUUCAGCUGGAAGAAUACCUCCAUGACAUUCAGAUUCUUUACCGUGGCAUGCUGUCCUGUCUGAUUGUUCAAUCUGGUCCCGAACAACUGUUUUGUCUUCAUUGCCGCUUCCCACCGUCUGCUCACCAUUUUUACUUUGACUGGCACUUGACUCCUCAUGAUCUAUGGUACAAUUUGGACAGCGCCAAGCUACCUGAUGAUCUUCAGAAAAAAGCAACAACAAGUCUUGAAUCGAUACAGAAUCUGCUGUCAGUGAAUCAACAGACUUGCCCUCCUGAAUCAGCAAAGGACUCUGAACAUCCUUCCUUUGACUGAUACGUUGCACUUUAGUAGAAUCUGCAGAAUCAAGCAUAUAUAAUAUUUAAUUUUAUCUGCAGUAUCAACAUCAUGCAACCAGCAACUGGCAUCCUCAUCCUCUACAUAUUUUUUAGGAUCUCUAUCCUCCAAAUUCAAAGUAGCUUUCUUUCUGAGAAUCCCUGCACAUGAUUAAGCGGAGCAACAAUUUAUUAUACGACGACAAGGACUCAAGUCUCAAGCUAUUUAUUCCAGUGGUAGUUUUACCUACGCUACAAACAGCAUUGCCGUGUUACCACUUCUGAAAGAUCCUGCUCACUUUUGUAUACAAAUCCCAAAGGUUUUCCUGACUUCUUUUCUGUCCAUGUGUGCAAAGAGCCCUCAAACCAUUUUCUCCACUUAGCAAGUGUGGGAUACAUAUUCCAAAAAAUGAAACGUUAUUCUUAUGUUGAGCAAGAUAACCAAUAAGAAUUCCAGUUUCAAAGUGUUCCGUAGUUCCAGCAUUUUCAAUCCUCAAAAGUGGAAUGACCUAGGAAGCUAGGACUCUAGAGUACCUCCAACAUCUGCAGUCAAGGCAUUUUAAUAAGUGCAGGAGCAAUCAUAAACUCACCAACUUCCAAAGGCUUCUGUGUUUCCUCCACAGCCACCUCUGAACCAAUAACAUCAGAAUAACCACUUGCAGGAACUGUUUGUAUCUUUUCCAAGUUUCUCUGCACAUCUGCUGGAAAUAAUUGAACAACAAUCUCCCUGUUUCGAGAUCUGGGACUCUCAUUUGUUUGUGAUAAUGCAGCACUUUUGGUUGGAUGCCCGUUUGAUGGGAAACCCAAUGACAGGUCCUGGAAAGGAUAGGGAACCGGAGGAGACAAAUGACCACAUUUUUUGCAGGAUAGCGUCCGAGCCAUCACAAACCCAAAAAUGGAAUCCAUCACUGUAGGAGCAUCAUUUUGCCAGCUAUCAUUCUCCUCACCUUGAUUCCAAAGCUCGCGCAAGGCCGUAAGCAAAUCGUGGCUGUCUUCCAUAGCCCCAACUCCGAAUUGCGGCGCACAGUCCUUGCGUACACAUUCCAAAACUUCAUUUGGGUUCAGCAAGUCUCCUGCAGCACUUGCCUCCAGAAAAAGCUUCUUGAGUACCUUGGCAAGGCGACUUUUUGGACGAUCCAAUGCUAACAUCCUUUCUCGCAGCUUACCAAGCACAAAUAGGCACUGCAAUACUGCACUCAUGUAGCAUGUGUUUCCGCGAUUUGGUAUCCCUCUGAUAGCAUAGCCUUGCGCAUCAGAUGAUCUGGACUCAUACCUAGGCAAUUUGUUUGCAUGAUCCACACCAACCACAGAUGGACAGCUUUCAGCCUGAACUUUGCCUGUCAUUUUCACCUUCUUUGGAUUGACCUCCGCCUUAGUUUGACCUAAGAUUGCAUACAUCCAAGAAAGCCAAAUAAGUAGGGGAUUUCUUGUGGGGAUGGUAAUAACCAAGAAGACGAAACAUCAAAAACUUCAGCAAGUAUUAACAUUCCAGAACCACUACCAAGAACAGUGCAGACCAGUGAUUGGGCCAAGGAAAAUCAGGGGCAAACAACCAUAGAAGGGAAAAAAUUCAGAAAACAUGAAACCCUGGCCAAGUCAAGAACGGCGCCAGGGAUUCAAGAAGCAAAGCUACGGGACCACAAAGAGCAAUGUCGGGGAAAGCUUACCAACAGAUGCCGGGGGAGCUAGUAACUCUGGACUGACAAUAUCGCGGAUCUCUUGAUGACCAACCUUGUUGUCACCUGCCCCGAAUUUGACCGGCUUUGGCACCUCAGCGUUACACUUGAAGCAGUAUCCUCUUUCUGGAUCACAGUACAGAACAGCAAACCAGUGCUUCUUCUUCAGGGCGUGUGCUCGAGAGUGCCCAAACGGGUAAGCAAUUGACCCAACCCCGCAGCAGAGAUGGUCGUAGCAUGUCACGCAGAUCAAGAGAUCUCGCUUCUCGGGCCUGACUUUCACGAUCCCCUUCUUGUCUUCGUCCCAACAACCAUAGCAAGUCCAUGCGUCAUUGGACUUGAAGACUGGAAACAAUUCCUCGAUAGCACUCAAUUCCUCAAUAGCACUGUCAGUCAUGACAUGAUUGCACUUGCACCGCCCCGCCCCUUCCACGAUCAGCUCUGAUGACUCAGGAACCGUAGGCACAGGCAGAGCCGCCAAUGGCCGUUUGUCCUGCCGCCGCGGAGAUUUACUCCGCGGGCUUCGAGAUCUCUUCGGCGGGCUCCCCUCCGCCUCCUCCUUCGUUGGCGACUUCCCCGUCGGGUUCGGCUUCGACGCCCCACGAGCCAGAGCCAGAGCCGCGUCGUCCAGCCGCGGAGCUUUCUUCCGCGGACUUCCCUCCGCCUCCUCCCCCUUCGGCGGCGUCUUCCCCGUCGGACUCGGUGCCGACGCCACAGAACCCGUAGUCGGAGCCGCGUCGUCCACCCGCGGAGCUUUAUUCCGGGGGCUUCCCUCGGCCUCCUCCUUCGGAGGCGUCUUCCCCAUCGAGCUUGCCUGGAACACACAAGAGCCACAACAAAUUAGAAUCGCGUGAAUCCGUUAAACCCCAAACCGCCCAGGAAACGAGAAAACCUGCGGAUGACCCGACAAUCGACAAAGCCAAAAUGAGGAGCGGGCAAAUACGAGAAUCCGUCGAGAAGACCCAGGGAAGACGACGGAAAAUCGAGCACUUCGGCGAGGAUCAAUAACCGCUGCCAGGAACCGUACGGGCCAGGGAUAAACCAACCAACCAAACCAAUAGAGCAAAAGGGUGAUGAACCAGAGAAGAAGAAUUCGACCCAGAACAACCCGAAGCCGCAUUCGUUCGAAUGGCGAGGAUCAAUAGCCAACACGCCAUGGAAUCGAACCGAGAGAUUUCAAAGGCGGAGAACCAGAAGGGGGGAAACUAUGAAAUCGGUCGAGAAGACGCGCCAAACAGAAACCAUUCUGGGCGGGAAUCAACAACAGCGACCACGGAUUCGGGGAUCCGAACCAGCAAAACACCAAUCGACCGAGCGACGAACAACAUAACCGGAGAAGGAAGUAAGGAAGGCCGUGGGGCGGAAGCUUACCGGAAGACGACGGCAACGGAGCUCGGGGUCGACCGGUCCGCGGCGAGGCCGAGAGGGAGAGGGGGUUUGGUUUGAGAGGGAGGGCGGCAGAGGAGCAAAUGAUUUCGCGCUGGUUUGGUUUCGCUGGGGGCGGCGGUGGGGAUUUUGGGGAGAGACGGUGGGCCGCGGAGUUGGGCUGGUUAGUUGGGAAGGUCGUGGGCCGUGGGCCGUGCGGACAAGGCCGGGGGAUGGACAUGGACCCGCGCUGGCUUUGCCAUUAGCCAAUAUGGCCCGAUCCGCAAUCACACAAUGUAGAAAAAUGUACGGAAAGUUCAUGUUGGGAAUUAGGUACACACAUAAUAACCCAUACAAAUGUGUGACAAAUAUAGGGAGUCUUAAGUUUAGAAAAAUGUAUAUAUAGGGAGUGUUUCCGUGAGAGAGACGGAUGUUUCUAUGUUGGAAGCUUGUAUUCCACAUAGAAAGAAAGCACAUGGAUGUCUCCAUGUUGGAAGCUUGUAUCCACAUAGAAAGAAAGCGCAUUGGUUGGCCACGUCCUUUGGUGGUUCACUUGAAUAAAACUAGGUGAAUUCUCCGCGCGUUGCUACGGAAAUUUUUUAAAAGUAAAUUAUUAUAUACAUAGCAUUACUAUAUGGUAUUCAGUCUAUUAUGUAUGUAUGUAUAUAAAUUUGAUUUGCAUGUAUUUUAUUGUAUUUAAUAUGGAAUGACAUGGACUUAGUAGGGAAUGAUGUAGACACCUUACAUGAAGAGAUAGAAUAUUUAGUGGGUCACUUAGUAGUGAAUGAUGUGGACACUUUGCAUGGAGAGAGAAUUCAUCUAGUGGGGUUUAGCAUUAUAAGAGUUAUAGAUAGUCAUUUUCCUUGAUUGUUUAUAUGUACACGUAAGAGAAUGAGUAUUUUUUUUCUUUUGUAGGUGCUUCGAACCCACCAAGAAAAAUUCCAUAUUCCUACUUCAAUUCUAAAAAUAUAUAUAUUAUUUUAGAGGUUUAGAAGCAUAGUCAAUGAAACUACACUUUUCUUUACAAUUUUAUUGUGGCACUUAAGAAAAAUUAUAGAACUCAAGCUAAUUCAGGAUUUGUGUUAUUGUGGGUGCCUCUAGUUCACUCUCUCAUUUUACAAUGAGUAAUAGUACAAUUCUCGUUGACAACCCAAAUAUUUGGUGACAAUAAUCCAAGAGUAGGUUCUUAUGUAGGAAUUUUUGAUUUAUAGUGAGAAGACAAUAAUACGAAGCCGCAUAUCACGGGGCAUGUUGAUUAUCACUAAAAAUAAUGACAUCAUUAAAUAUGAGUACCUGUGUCAAGGUGAAGACCUAACUUGAGCUUCAGUGACAGUGGAAAAAUAUCCCCUUAAGGUCUUGUUUGGAUGUAGUCGGUUUCGCAUCAAUCCACAUGUGUUGGGGUGGGUUGGAGUGGAACUUGAACUAAAUUCCACCCCAAUCCACUCCAACACAUGUGGAUCGAGGUGAAUCCGACAACAUCCAAAUAAGGCCUUGUUUGGAUGUAGUCGGAUUCACAUCAAUCCACAUGUGUUGAGGUGGACUGGAGUGGAAAUUGAACUAAAUUCUACCCCAAGACAGAGGCCCACCCUCCCAUCCAACAAUGAGUACCGGUAGAAUUCUCGAUAAUCCAAAAUUAACUUGAAAAGGUGCUGAGAAACAAACAAAACACCCUCGAUAAUCUCAAAUUGGGAAAUCCAAAUGGUCGUAGAAAAGCAGAGCUCCAAUGAAAAUAAAAGUCUUCAUGUGGUUAGCAAAACAAGGUAGGCUACAAACAGGGGCGAAUUUGAAGAAAAGGUAGGCUCCAUUUAGGUGAAGGAGAAGAAGUUUAGCGUGAAUCUAUAUAUCAAAUCAUGGGAUAAGAAAUUUGACAUAUUUCUUGGAAAAUUUUGGUGACACAUAAAUAGCAAUUCCUGGUUAAAUAAUUACUUAUGUACACUUUUCAUCCAUAUACACAGUUUUUUCUUCCUCUGUAUGUAUUUAUUAGUUCAAUUCAAACCCUAACAUCAUACUUUCACAUUCGACCGUAUUAGUUGCUUGAAAUCUUGUAUUCACUUAUUACUUUAAAACUCUUAUGAUUACUAUACCUUUUUUUAGUUCAAUUUAUAUUUUAUCAAAAACGAUUUUAUGUCCUAGACUACGAUAUUAAUAUUGUUGUGAUCUAUGCAUAAAUGUUCGUUUAAGGCCGCAUCGACCAAGCCACUCAAAAUCAGCUACGGAGCUGCUUCAAGUAAGACUUAGGAGAGGCCAAUAUAUAGUGCUAAACUCAAAAGAAUGUUAAUAUUUAAGCUUAACAAUCUCCCCGACUACUCCAAAUGAAUUGGCCUGUUCAAGCGCUAAGUUAGGUUAGAAUGAGGUUUUGAUCGGGGCAAAGAAAACUUGAUUUUCGGCUGGUCCAAUCCUAAUCUGUCCCGAUAUCGGGCAAGAUUUUCAGCCCACGCGUCCGUCCAUCUGGUCGUUUCUCAGGCUAAAAAGUACUGUUCGAAAUGUUUGAUUGAAUAUCAUAAUUUGCUUAUGUCCGAAAUGUUCACAAAUUUAGUCUCACCUGAAAUUACUUUAAAUUGUUUUUGCAUGCACGUAUAAUUUUAACGAACUUUGCUUUUUAAAUCAAAUGAGUUUAACAUUGAUAUUUAGUUUUACAAUAUUGUUAUCUUAUCGGACAAUAAUCUAAUAUUUAGGACAUGUUUAGUUCUCUAUUUGGGCCCAAAAAAUGGUUUUGGCCCACCAUUAUGCAGAAUGAAACUAAACACUAUCCAAAAAUUUUAGCAAAAUAGUCGUCAUUUUGCAUUUGGGAUUUUAGCCUCAAGAGCAAAAAAAAAACCCCAAAAUAGCAGCUUCAUAUAUUUUGGACCCUGGAAAUUUUGGUAUUUUGAAUGGAACUAAACCAUGCAUUUCUGCCUCCUGCUGGCUGAAAUGCAGGGAAUGUGUUUUCUGCCUCCUGCUGGCUGAAAUGCAGGGAAUGUGUAUCCUUCUAGUCUCUUCGAAACAAAUUUUUCUUUGUGGAGUAAUUUUUCUGUCGGGCUAAGUCAUUUUACUAUGGAACUUUUUUUCCCCUUGGACGUGGAACAAUCUUUCCUUCCAACUAGAGUAUAUUUGAUCUAACGAUCCAUCAUGCACGCAAAGAUGUCUUUCUAGUAGCUUGUGUGACAUAUAGUAAUUUUUGUGUUCCGCUUGGCAAGCAUGGUCAUAGCGCGGCUGGAUAUCAGCAAUUCAGAAGCGGCAGCAGCAGCUAGCCGUUCAUCUUUAGCGUUCUCGCCGAUAUGCUUCACAUGGGUAAUGGGUUCACUUUAGACGGAUGUACUACCAAGGAUUAUAUAUCUACAGGAGAUCAUUUAUUUGCAUUCCCAUGUAAAAUUAGACAUCUUGCAGUGCAGGUAAUGAACUCAGAGCUGUUCACUCGAGUAAACUCACACAGCUCUCCAGGUUAUAAAAUGAAAGAAACCAACACAGAGACAAAACCCUAGACUGACAGCAGAAAUUACAUUGUAAAUACCUACAGUGGUGCUGAGCAAUGCUACCCUCCCUCUCUGGUCAUCAACAGGCGGCACAAAUGAGCCCUAAUGUACAAUUACCCAGGAGCAGGCAGGCAGGUAGAAUAUCACAAGAGAGUCAUCUCCCAGACAUUAGGUUCACCAGACCUUGGUUCUCCUGGAUCGCGUUCAUAUCCCAGAAUUCGCUCGUCGAUGAGAGUGUCAUCAGCGCCACGACUAUGGAUCUCAUUGUGGGCCUCGCCUUGGGGUCUUCCUGCGUGCACGCCCUUGCGAGAACUGUCAUCUGCCAAAACAGCAAAUGAUGUGUUACACUGACAAUUUUGGAACAUAGCAAGAAGGGUAAAGAUAAUUCUACAGAAGCGUUAUAUUGAUCGUCUGUGCAUGGUUCUAACUUUGAGGAUUGAGUCCAUGGGGUAAUCCUCGCCUAACGCUGGAUCAAUCAGUCUUUGAAGACCUUCCUUAGGAUCCGGUGUGUUUAGAGCCUCCUCAAACUGCACUUUGUAAUAAGGUGAUUGGUUAGUCAUCAUAGUGUUAUAAAUGUGCUUGCAAGGAAAAAAACAGAGUUUGGUCCAUUGUCUACUGUCUAAUCAUCCACGAACACAUGACAACAAACCAGAGCAGGUAUGCCUCGUCUAUAAACAUACAACUCAAAGGAAUAACAGAUGAUCAGGUCAAAACAUUUAUUCAAAACUGGAAGUAUUGAACUACUGAUGUAGAUUUUACACUAGGAAGUAACAAAUGUCCUUAUGGUAAUGAAGCGCAGAGCAGUUUUCUUUUUCUUUCCUCGAGAAAUUGGCCACGAACUCUGGCAUUUACACAAUGACAAUGGCAGCUAAACCAUACUAGAGCUAGCGCCCGUGUUUAACUAGACCACUGGUCUAUUCCAUAGAAAUAGAAUGUAAAAGAGUUGAUUUAGCAUAAUAAUUACCAGAUAAACCAAUCCCUUUGAAUCACUAGAAGACUCGGUUGAUCUGACAAUAGCAUCUUUGGCCGAAAUAAGUUCAUAGAGAACAACGCCAAAGGCAUAAACAUCGACCUUUGGAGAAACAUCACCAUACCGAGCAUAUCUGCAAAUGACAUACCCCAUAGAUGUCAACAUUCAUCAUAGAUGGUGGUACUCUGGAAUCACACAACCAUGCCAUGACAUAUAAACAUUUAAGACACGUACUCAGGAGGCAUGUAACCAAAUGUGCCUACAAUUCCACGUGUGGGUAGUGAUGUAUUACCAACUUGUGUAAGUUUUGUUAAACCAAAAUCUGCGACCUGGAAGGUAGACAUAAUUAUUUCAUCAAGGAUUCAAGAAACAUAUUUAGAAAGACCCAUGAACUAGUCAAACCUUUGCACGGUAGUUCUUGUCUAUCAAGAUAUUUGCUGAUUUGAUAUCCCGAUGUAUGUACACUGGAACAGUAUGUUCAUGAAUGUACUCAAGACCUCUUGCUGAAUCUAGUGCAAUCUGAACCCUGGCAGCCCAAGACAGAGGCUCAUAACCUAUAUGAACAUGUGUGGUGAUUAAUUUGCAGGAAGCAUCAGAUAGGCAUGCCAGACAAGCUAAGAGGUGACACAUUACCAGUUCCACGUAAAUGCUGGCUUAAGUUUCCAUUCUCGAUAAACUCAUAUACAAGAAACAAGGAACUUUCGGUGCAAAAACCAAUCAAUCGCACCUGUGUGAAAUAAAGAUUGGUAAUCACAGCCAAAGGAACAAUACAAGGAUUAACUUGAAUGGAGAUAACAAGGAAAUUACAUGAUUGUUCCUACCCACACAAAACUAAUACUAUGCUGGAAGGAAGGAAAGACAGGAACACAAGGUAAAGAUACAAGGAUGAAACACAUAUAUUUCCUCAACUUGAUUUAAAUUAUGUGAAAGAUAUUGAUGUGCACAAUCUUCAUGUAUAAGGGUGAUGCUAUCCAUUAUCAAUGAGCAAGAUAACCCACAAUCUCACCCUGAACUGAUAUUGACACUCGUGACACCCUUUCCCAGUUAAAUGUGACUUGUAAGAGUUAACAAUAAUGAAAAGCACUUCAUCAAGGCAUGCAUCCCAUACUAUUGUGCUCGAGAGUUCCUACUUCCCACAACAACCUGACACUCAUCUAAAAGUUGCUAUCCAUAGGAUGUUGAAUUUCCUACUAAUCUUGCCUAUGAAGUAAGUUUAAAUUGUUUCAGAACUUUUCUGCUCCAUAUCAAUUAGAAUUCAAAGGAGAAUAUGGAGCAAAAAUAAACAACUAUACAAGUAAUGACAAAAUAUACAGUCAGAAUUGCUGUGUACAUCAGAGUAACAUGUACUCCAAACAUAAAUGUGUGCCUAUUGGCUUUAUAUGUGAGAAAGUAAACAAAUCUAAGGGGAAAACCACAUAUCAAAUAUGCUGUUGCAGUAAAUAAAAAGAAGCCACUAACCAGAUUCAGAUGAUGAACAUGCGUCAAAACCUUUAACUCAGCAAGGAACUCAUGAGAAGCCUGCAUAUCCAUUUUCUUUAUAGCAGCUUUCUGGAGACACCCAAAGCAAAACAUUUCAAAUGAAGAAUAGAUAUGAUUAUAUGCAGCUGAAAAAUAAGUUUGAACAUUGAACUAACCUCGCCCCUGAGCUCAGCAUAAUAGACAGCGCCAAAACCACCUUGCCCGAUUUUGUUACUCAUGCUAAAUCCCUCUGUGGCAUUGAAAAGUUCUUCAUACGAGAACUCUACUGAUUUGUCAACAGUAAUUCCUGGAACUCCAGAGGCACUAUCAGCUUGAUUGGUUGACAGUGCAGAUUUAUCCAUGGAUGUAGUAGCUGGAGAAAAAUAAAUAGUAGUAGUUCAGAAACUUGUGGAAGCUCCACUCACAUUGUACGCUUAUGGAAAUAAUGGAAAGAGGGCAUGGCAUCCAAGGGUGUUAACUCUUCUGUGUGCUAAGAAGUACACUUAUGGGUACUUGAAUCGUAACAUAGACCUUUUAGCACAUAAAAAAACACAUAGGACACGGACUCUAUUUACUAAACAAGAUUUCUGGUUUCCAGACAGAUAAAUAAUAGCUUCACAGGGUAAUCCUCUACAAAUCGGAAGCAUCAGAACCUCAAAACACUGAAACCAAUAUUAUGCUUGUACAUUGCUUACAUGAGCAAAGGAAAAAAUGAACAUGCAACAGUGGAAUCAUGAUUAUGAUUUUUUUUUACGGAAGAUGUUAAAAAAAAUAAUUUCCUGUUGCAGGAUAAUAUACAUAGAAAGAGAAGCAAAUGAUGUCAUUACCAAGUUGGGUAGAGUAUUCAGAAGAUGGUAGUAAGGCAGCCUUGUUUGCCUUUCUUCGCCUAUAGAACAUGGUAUAUAACAAGACAACCAGGACCAGAACAGCAACACCACCAAGAACUCCUCCUACUAUAGCUCCUACAGAAACUCCAUUUCCUGCCCCGAAUCGAUGAUGAGAUUGACAAUGUGUACAAGAUUCACACUUUUUUUCUCACAAGAAUAGCUGGCAUCCAGUUUUUCUUGCAAAAACCUUAACACGGAAGCAUAAUUAUCCUGCAAAAGGACAGAAGCUGCCUGUACUGCACAAGAUGAGAAUGCUUAUCAGCAUGAGUGCACAGGAGUUGAUAAUAUUCAAGUGAAUAUUGUACGAUGCAAUAAGCUGGCAGCAAAACUUACCCUGGUGAUUUUAAAGGACGGUAACUUCCAUUGGGAUCUGGAGGAGCAAAAAGAAGAAAAAAGGCAGAGAAACCCAUUUUAGCAAGAAAAGAUCAAUCCAACAGAGUUCGCACUAAUGCUAACAGCAUUUUAGAGGUUAAAUUGCAACAAAAUAACUGCGCAGUUCACAGAAUGAAGCCAGCCCUGCAACUGCAUACUAUCAGAAAUGUCACAUGUGCAGAUGCAUUGAGGAUUCCAAGGGAAUUUUUUUACUAAGACCUGGAAACUUUGACUUUUACAUAACUAUGCCUGAAGAGAGGCCAUGAACCAACAAAUGGAAACGGUAGCAAGCAUCAAACACCAAACAAUUUAGGAAUAUGUCAACCACAGUGCCAUAAAGAAUUCAGUCGGUUCUUCAUCUAAUUGCAAACAGACAAACACAAUCAAUGUGACUGUAUAUAGGAAUAAUUAGCUAUGUCAUUAUAAAGCAAGCCCGGAUCAAUCAAUCCAUGCACACUGACGACAAACUAUGAAGAAAACACCUCAAAUCGAAGCUAGCAUCCUAGAUUACCAUUCAGUUCAGCAGUGGUUGGUUACAGAACACCCACAAUUCCCUGCAUAAUACUAAUAACCCCCAGAACUCCCUCCUACAUUUCUCGCUAAGCUAAGCUAAAAUUGAACUGAAUCCCCCGCAAUUGACAUGACACAACAGCAGGAGCUAGAAAUGAUCACCUUUGACGGGGAUGAAAACGAGCCCACUUGUAGCGGUGUCCAUGCCGGGGUUAUACUUGCGGAGCAGGUCCAGCUGCGACUGCGAGUUGAAGCUGUAGUUGGCGGCGACGGCGGUGAGGGUCUGGCCAUCGAGCGGGUAGGUGAGGAACAGCCCGUAGUCCGGCGAGAUAUUCGGGUCCCCGCAGGAGCAGUUGACGGUGACGUUGACGGUGCCGGUGUCGGGGAUGUUGGUGGAGGGGUACGUGUUGGUCUCGGCGAGCCAGUCGGACGUGGUGAGGUUGUUGAAAUGGCCGGCGACGCUGGUGUAGGUGUCGCCGCUGGCGACCUUGUAGGGGAGGGAAGCGGCGAGGUAGGUGGAGAAGGGCGCCCUCGGGAGCGCGAGGCUGUCGCAGCGGAAGUAGACGUUGACGCUUUUGCCGGCGGCGAUGAAGUCCAGGUUGGUGUUGCCGGGGUUGUAGGGCGCCAGCGUCUUGUAGUCGCUGAUGCCGAAGAGGCUCGCGAUGUAGGUGAGGUUCUCGUUCCGGGAGAUGAGGUAGGAGCCGAGCGCGAGGUCGCAGCCGCCCCCCGCCGCCGCCGCGGCCGACGCCGCCGCUGCGAGGAGGAGGAGCCGCAUGAGGACGCGUGGCGGCGCCAUGUGGACGGACGGCGAGGAGGAGCAGGACGAGGAGGAGGGAACCCUAGCAGCGGAAGCGUGUAGCCAUUAGAGGAGGAGGAGGAGCUGGGGGAGGUGCGGUGCGGGGAGUUGGGGGAGGGGGAGAAGCAGCAGCAGAGCACAGCUAGGCACGCGGCGACGACGGGCGCGACAACGCGGCGGGAGUUUGACCCCGGGCGCGCACCGCACAGGGUGCGGGGGGCUCCCGGUGGGCCCCACCCCCGUGUUCGCGGUGACACUGGCAGGUGGGGGCUCGAUGGGCGGGCAACGGACAGACAGAGAGACAUGUGAAUCGAACGCGGGGGGCGGGCCCACCACAUAUAGGAGGAGUCGUUCCGGGGAGGCGCGGUGGCGGAAGUCGCCAGCGACGACGGGGCCAGCAACGGCGGCGGUCAAACCGUCAGAGGGAGGUGGGAAUUGGGAAGCGCUGCUGGGCCAGGUCGGCAACGGGCCACGGGAUGCUGUCCCAUUCGGGGAUGUUUCGCUUUUGUCCCUGGGCGCUAAUCCCGUUUUUGUCAUCUUGUCAUUACCAAGGAUAAUCAUACGUUUUAAAUCCGUAGUACUACAUCAGUGAUAAAGUGCACCGGGCACUACCGUCACUGCGUCAGGUUUCUCCGGGAAGCGAUAUUUGUUUAUGUGCAGGACUGCUUCUGUCGUCACGCUUGUCCGUACCGUAGAUGCUGCUUGCUUGAUUACUCCGUCGGUCCUAAAUUAAGUCAAUUUCUAAAAUUGUUCUAAAUUAAAUUAUUUUUAAGUUUGAUGAAUUUUAUAGAAAAAAAAUGCAAUAUCAUGUAAAAUAUUUUCAUAUAAUAUACUUAUAUGAUAUUAGAGAUGUUUUUAUCCUUUUCUCUAAAGUUGUUCAAACUUAAUAUAAUUUUGAUUUAAGGUGAUUCUAGAAAUUGGUUUAUUCUAAAGAUAGAAAUAGUAUUUUGUACAAUCUUAUUAAUAAGACAAAUAAAUGAGUGAAGCAUCUAAAUGGGGCCACAGGUUGUCUACUCAGUUUUGGUCACUACUCACUAAGCUUGGUUAUCAUGUACUCUAGCAAAAAAGUUUUUAUGGAUCUGGAGUUCUGGACUCUUAUCUCGUUGGAUUCUUCUGGUCAAAUAUGGUGGCAGAGGUUGGGGCUUUUCACUACUUGCUUGAUUCCGCCUGAAGCCACAGUCUCUGUGAUUGCAAUCAGCUUCAGUGCGAAUUUUCAAGAAGCAGCACAGCUCAGGCCUGCCACCGAAUUCUGUUGUAUACCAUUGAUGCAGUAAGGCCUUGUUUAGUUCCAUUUUUUUUUGCAAAAUAUACACCAUAACACUCUCCUUUGUAUUUAACAAAUAUUGUCUAAUCAUGGACUAACUAGGCUCAAAAGAUUUGUCUCGUAAAUUACAGACAAACUAUGUACUCCCUCCGUCCACGAAAGAGUCAAUUUCUAAAGUUGUCCUAAGUCAAACUUUUUAAACUUUGACCAAAUUUCUAGAAAAAAAUGCUAAGAUUUAUAGUAUCAAAUUAGUAUUAUUAGAUUCAUCAUAGAAUAUAUUUUCAUAUAAUGUGUAUUUUAUAUUAUAGAUGUUGUUACUCUUUUCUAUAAAGUUAGUCAAACUUUAAAAAGUUUGACUGGCACGGAUCCUAGGAAUUGAUUCUUUCGGAGACGGAGGGAGUAAUUACUUAUUUUUUAUGCAUGUGCCGCAAGAUUCGAUGUGGCGAAGAAUCUGAAAAAAUUUGCAAAAUUUUGAGAACUAAACAAGGCCUAAAUGGAGAUUGAGGAAAGGCAAGUCUGGUAAGCAUACUAGGACCAUGCCCGUGCGUUGCUACAUGUGUUAAAAUGCAAAUCAUCCUUCAUACUCUCUCCAUGCAAAAUUAUUCACUUUUUGAUCUUUGACCACUCCUCGUAUUAAAAAUUAUAUAAACAUAGUCAAAUUUAAGUCAUUUCUGAAGAACUUUUAUUAAUACACCAAGCCACGAUAAAAGAAGUGAUAUUUUGAAAGUUUUAAAUAAGACAAGUGGCUAAAUUUAGUGUCAAAAAAGUCAAACAUCUUAUAAUUUGAGAUUGAUCGAGUAUUUUGCAGUUAUCAUAUGAAAAAAAAAAUGUCUUGUGUGCAUUAUGGUAUUCAUUCGAGGCAUAGGCAACUAAAAGAAAAUGGUCAAACAUCUUGUAAGCCUAACUUGCAAUUCACUUUAGCUAAGCGUCAAAAAAUUACAGGGAGGCAUAAGGUGGUUGGCUUCACCAUCCUAGUGGUAGACGGGUCCUAGUGACUUUUUUUAGAAGUACAGAAGAGAUUAAGGCCUGCCACUAGAAGAAAGGCAAGUCCAGGUAAAUAUAAGGGUCCUAUAAUCACCAAGCAAAGAGAGUAGCAAAUAAUGACAGCGUAAAACCCUAUUAACAUUACAAGUUUACAACAGUUGCCGCAGUCUAGUAAAUGGAGAUUGAGGUAACUUACCAGACUUGCCUUUCUCCAAACCGAAUGCAUGGGUUUUACAGUAAACAUUCAGUUCCUGCAGGUUUCAGCAAAUAUUCAUGCAUUCCAAAUGAGGUUUCCUUGGACCUUCUGUCAGACUUCUCUUGUCCAGCAGUUGUACUGAUCAGUUUGAUCUUAGCAAAAAGCGAGAAGGAUAAUACACACAGAACAGAAAAGAAAUCAAGAUAGCCAACUUUUCUUCGGAAACAUCAUGUUUUACAAGACAGGGCAAAGGUAACAUGAUUAAACAAAAGACAAAAAAAAGAGUAGAGAGAGAACUCAGGGAGCAGCACAAAAUGCCUAAAUCAUACAACCAGGUGAUCUAUACCACAAAACAUCAUGCCCACUGUGUACAAUACAUAUAUUAGUGGCUUUACUGUUCCACAUUUCAUACAAUAAUGGUGGAAACGGAACAUAUAGAUAAAGAGCCGAAAACACCUUCAGUAUAUCCACUUGGCAAGUUCUUACUAUUUAUCUAGAUUAACGUAUUCUUCAACUGAGAAAACUAGAAAUAGGAAAAAAUCUCAGCAUGCACUGGCUGGAUUCCAGCAGAAUCACAUUUGCUCAGAAUUAUCUGAACAUUGGGUGAAGCUCUUCUGAAAGGCAGUUGUUUUGUCUCCACAAAAGGGGAUAGAUCCACAUGAUCAUUUCCAACCCUGUCCAUGAGAUUCCCCUUAGGAGCAACCAAUAGCAGUUUCUUUAGACCAGUGGCCUUCCUCAACAAAAAACUUACUAGACGCAACUCAAAGUAGUGGCCCUUGAAUUUCAUCAUCCUUACAAACAUAAGGUUACCAAAGUCAUACUCUGGUUCAUCUUCCUCAAAAUAAUCUUCCUCUGGCACAUCUUCUCCCAGAAUAUCUUCCUCAUACACAUCCUCAUAGUAGGGUCUUUCCUUCAGCAUAUAUUCUUGUACCAGUUCUUCCUGCAAUAACUCAUCCUCUGUCACAUCUUCCUCCGAAAGCUCUUCCUCUGGUUCAUCACUCUCUGUAUCUUCUUCCUCCGAAAGCUCUUUGUCCGGUUCAUCAUCCUCUGUAACAUCUUCCUCGGAAUGCCUUCCCUCUGAAUCAUCCUCCUCUGCCACCUCCAAGGAAUUCCCUACAAAAGUAUCACUACUGCUUGAUGGGAGCUGCAGGUAGAUGUAGUGUUAGCAUUCAGGAACACCAGAGAAAUAAGAAUGUAGUGUUAGCAUUCAGGAACACCAGUGAAAUGCACUAGAAACUGACCUGCACAAAGAGCCUCUCCAGCUUUGGACACCGGCAGGUCUGGAGGAACAUAUAGAUAUGAGCGAGAUUGGAGCUUUUCAUUUCAAACAUCAGCAGCUGCAGCUCUUUCAAGCUCGGCAAUUUCCUCAGCCUAGUCAAACAAGUAGCUGAUCCGAAACGAGCCAACGCAUAAAUUCUCUGCAGGAAUAGUUUACAAAGUUAUUUAGCAGACUAGAAUAAACUAGAUGAAAUGAAAAACAAUCUAGAUGAACAGCAUAAGAACAAAACAAACUACAGGCAUCACAGUGGACCGACCCGGAGGGCAAUGCUGCAGAUGGUGAGGACCGUGAGGUUGGCGAGGUUGGGAAGCGCUUGGAUCCAGUGCUUGAGAGGAUAUCUUACGCAUGGCCCCCGUAGGCAGAUGUAAAGGUCGUCAAGCUGCGCGGUGGCCGCGAUCUCGUAGAUGGGGAGAAGGGCACUGCUGAGGCGGAAGGAGCGGAGGCCGGAGGCCAAGCCGGCGUAGAGGUGGGUGACGCGGUUGCACUCGGCGACGGUGAGGCUCCUGAGGCGCCCCUGCGGCGACGUGGCGUAGAUUUCAUCGAGGAACUUGCAGGCGCGCAGGUCGAGGGUGCGGAGGCGAGGGCACGCCGGGAGAAGCUGGUUGAUGUCCACCGAGCGGGCGGAGUGGAUCUGGACGACCUCGAGGGCGGCGUACGCGUCGGAGCGGAGGGAGUAAUCGAACGUGACGUAGCCGACGUGGAGGAGGGAGAGGCGCGCGAGGCGGGGGCAGGCCGGCGGGAAGCGGAGCAUGGAGCCCGUGCUCAUGAAGUGGUCGGCGAUGUCGAGGUUGAGGUCCUCGGCGUCGCAGGCAGCGGCGUAUUCGAGGCAGCGGCUGAUGUCCUCGUCGCGGAAGUAGCGGUGGGGGAGGCGGCGGCGGCGGUACUCGCCGAAGUGGAAGGUGAGGGAGAAGCGGUCGAGGUGGCGGUGCCCGCGGCAGUGGAGCGAGCCGAGGAGCCGGUCCGGGUCGUCGACCCCGGAGCGGAGGUGGAGGUCGAGCGAGGACGGCGCGGGCCAGCGGCGCGCCCAGAGCCCGCGCCACCGCGUGGAGAGCGCGCCCGUGCGGAUGGCGGACUUGAGCGGGAGCAGGGACAGAAUGCGCAGCUGCAGGUCCUCCGGCAGCGCCAGGAUGGGGUCCCCCUCAUCGGCCGCCACCGCCGCUGCUUCCUCAGUGACCCGCCGCUUCUUCGCGGCCGACGCGCCGAGCUGCGGCGCCAUCGCGGAGCUACUCGCCGCCGGAUUCCUCCCGCGCCGCCGCUCACCGGCCCUCCCAGGCUCCCACUCCUCGCUCACGAAACCGCCAUGCUUCUGCAACGGGCUGGACUCACCGAGAGGUUCUUCUGGCGCAUCGUACUAGGCCCGGCCCACCGUAGAGUUAGAGGUAUUCUUUAUUAUUAUUAUUAUUUUGCCAAUUUCUUUUAACAGAAUACAGAAUACCAACCAGCUCGAAGCACCAUGUAAUGUUUGUAAGAACUUUGUAGCUAGAAUAGCACGACUUACAAUUUAAAACCUAUGGAGUAUGUUAACAUGUUCACCGUUAAUAACAUGUCUGAAGGCAAACAAGAAACCAUCUCAGGCACAUUCGGAGCCUUUUUAAGGACUGAGGAUUCAGGAACAAGAGAGUGAAUCAGGUCCCCAGUUUAUUUCUUAAAAAGAAAAAUCUGGAAAUGCAACCAAUUAAUAUGACAAGUGAGCAAAAUCCUAACCACAAUUCAAGAUGCAAAUCUCGGGCGGCAAUCCUUCUGAAGCCAUGCCAAAUCAUAUUAAUUCAUGCUCAACAGAAUUAUAAUCUGGAGAACAGUGGAACAUAACAUAACCUGAUAACAUAAAACCAAGCACCAGCGACCGUUUAGUUUAGCUGCUGUAGCAACAACAGCAUUAACCCAAUUAUCAUAUGAACCAUCAACAAUACUUUUUUUUUCUUUUUGAGGGCAAUCAACACAAUUUUUUGACAUUGCCUUGUAGAAUAAUACACCGGAUGACCAUAAUGCAACCGAUCUUGACAGUCUCUCAUCAACUGCUGCUGUUAUCUCUUACAGCAAAGCAUCCUGAAGAUAUCCACACUUUAACGCAUAUCAAUAAAAAAAGGUGGUAAAAUUUAUACUGAGGAUAUCCAAACUUUAGUGCAUAACACAAACAAAUGCGUAGUUUAUUUAGCCCUCUCUGAUAACAAAUGGGCCACUGAAAAUCUGAUCAUACCAGAACCGUGAAGCUAAUGCACUGCUAAAACAUAGAAUGUCAGAAAGGUUGUAUGUAAUCUGAUAGUCAUCUCAUCAGGUAUACAAAAAUACAAUGUCAGAUAGGUCCCAAUAACCAUAUAGGAUGGUCACUGCAUUGGUUGGCCAUUUCUAAAGUAAUUAAACAUUGCAUAGCCUACCAGUAAACACGGCAUGGUGACAAACAAUUAUAGACCAAAUAUGUAUCAUGUAAAGUUACUGCAGCCUUUCCUAGAACAACAAUGCUGCCUCUUGGAUUUCCUUCAGUAUAUGACUACGAAGAAUCUUCAAUAUGUGGGCGUGCCUAUUCCAGAAAAAAGAACAAAACUGGAUCUUUGGUGAUCAUGCACCUCAGACAACCUUUGGAGAUGAAACCAGCCUUUGGCUCUCCUCAUCCAACUCGACAGCAUCAUCAUCACCUCUUCCUUGCUUAGCUGCUGCCUCUCGCUGUGCUGAAGAAUUGCCUUUUGUUGCAACUGAUUGCUGAUAGAGCACUCCACCAGCAAGAGUGAAGAGUAAGCAAACCAAACCGAACGUGCUUGCGUGCUUGUCCCAGAUCAUCACAUUUAUUGCAACCGUGAGGAACUUGUUGACCACACCUGUCACUGUGAAUGCUGUGGCAGAGAUUGCUUUCCUUGCAGCAAAACCAAAGAAGCUGAUGAGCAGACCAAAGACACAGGACAGUGCAACGGCCACAAAGGAAUCAAGCUCAAACCAACUCUGUCCCCUUGACUCAAUGGCUCUGAAUACCGACAAGUGCUCCCCUGUCAGAAACCCAAACACUGGUGCCAUUAGCAGCGAAAGAAGAUUGUUGUAGAGCACAAAGCCCCAGGUGGUGAGCCCCAAGUUGGUGACCAUGUGCUUGAUGUACACCAUCUCAGUAGUUAUGGUGAUCAGGUAAGCGAGCGCCCACGAGUACGCAGUGAGGGUAAAUGCCGAAUCUGUCAUCACAUAGCCAACCGCGCCUCCCAAAAUGAUCACAAGGGACAGGAACGUGAGCUUGGAAGGGCACGGCUGCUUCCUGAACGUGGUGUCGGCGAUAGCCACCAGGAGAGGAGUCAGGGACCUGAACACGAUGAAGGUGUCGACGUUGGCGUGCUUGAGAAGGUGGGUGUUGGUGAAGAUGGCAAGGUAGAAGACUGCCGCGGCCGGCGCAAACUUCUUGGCGGUCUUGAGGUUGAAGGCGUCGUGGCAGAGGAAACCGAGCUUCCCGAGCACCCACACCCCAACCACCGAGGUCAGGUACUGCAGGGCGGUCAGGAGCCCAGGGUAACUGAACUUGGUGAUGGCGUACUUGUUGAUGAUUGCCAGCAAGCUUGAGCACAGCGCGUACCCGACCACGAGGCUGCUCGUGGCGUACGCCUGCUUCGCCAUGAAUCAGGCCCCUUUGACCUGAAAACUCACAUGGAAAAAUCAGAAGCCGGAUCCCAGUAAUCAAUUGUCAGCUGACACUAGACUAGGUUCAUCCACGGAUGAGGCGGCAUCAAGCAACCAGGGAUCAAUCAGACGGUGUUAAAUGACACUGGAUUCAUCCACGAACUAGAUGGCAUUGACCAGGCUGCUCCUGGAAGAACACAAAACGGGCCUAUUUGGAUUCUAGACAGCCAUGAUUCAGGGACGGAAGGCGGACCCAGUAGAAGCUAAUUUUUUUUUUCAGAAAAAUCAAGUCAGCAGGCAAGUAUAGACUUGUGAUUAGAUCAGAUCCGACUUCCGAGUACAGAUAGCCAAAUAGCUUAAGUUAAAGUUAGGGUUCGGGUGCUCGGUUUCGCACAGGAGGAGAGGAAGAUGAAGGGCGCGAAUACCUGUGGGCGCUCGUCGCCGACGCUGGACCCGACAAAGACCACGGCACCUGCCGUAGGCGGCGGCGGUCGCGCAGUUGGCGCGCUCUGGGGGUGAGGACGGGAGAGCACCUGGUGGCUGUAUUCAGUCAGUCGCUUGACAUUUUUGGGCCAAGAGGAACGAGAACCCAAAGCAGCAGCAGAUUAGCGGGUAGCGGGUGACGUCAGCAUGUUUGAGAAGUUUAUUAAAUAAAUAAAUGAAAACAAAUCUGAGUGUACUCCCUCUCUCUCCUGAAAAGGUAACAUUCUUAUAAAUAUUUAAACUCUGAUAAUAUAUAUUAGACGUUGAAUAUAUUUUCAAAAUAAGUUUAUUUAGUGAUACAAAUGGUGUUAAUAUUUUAAAAAACUAGCUAGCGAUUCUUUUAUGAGAUAGAGGGAAUACUCCCUCCAUAUAGGAUUUAGAAGAUCGUUUUGGAUAAGGAUUAGGUCAAACAUUGAAAAUAUAAAUUAUCAAUAAUUUUUAAAUUGUUGAGUUUACAAAUAUAAAAUUAUAUGAAUAGAUUUGUCUUAAAAAAUAUUUUCACAAAUUAUACAUAUAUUAUUUUUCUAAAUAUUUUUAUAAAAACAAGUUUAGAGAUUGUGGUCUUGUUUAGAUGCAAAAAGUUUUUGAAUUUUGACACUGUAGCAUUUUCGUUUUUAUUUGACAAACAUUGUCCAAUUAUGGAGUAACUAGGCUUAAAAGAUUCGUCUUGUGAUUUAUAGGUAAACUGUGCAAUUAGUUAAUUUUUUUAUCUAUAUUUAAUACUUCAUGCAUGUGCCGUAAGAUUCGAUGUGACGAAGAAUCUUUAAAGUUUUGGUUUUUUGGUUAUAUCUAAACAAGGCCUGUGUCGCUAGCUAUCCUAAAUAGUAACUUCUAAAUUCUAAUGGAGUAGCUUACAAUACAAUCUUUAAAACAAGACCUCUCGUAAGUAUUUGAAUAUUUUAUUUUGUAGACAUACAAUUUUUCUCGUAAAAAAGAAAACAUUUACGAGACAAAUCUGGGAGACAAAUCUAGUUCUUAUGGCCACUUUUUUUCCGCAGUCGACUCUUCCGAGCAGCUUCUCUGUUCUGCGCGAGCCUUACCUGAGGCAAAUCAUUUCAGGUUUACAUUCUGACCAUUUUAUUUCUCUUGCAAAAAUAAAUCAACAAACGUACGAAUGGAGAAUUAAGACUUAAAGGAAUGACAGCUAUCUAUCAGAAGCUCUUUAAAACUGCCAAUCCUUUAGUUGCUUCUGAAGCUGCACUACAUCAGGUGGAUGAGCCUACUGUAUGGGGCAUUCAGAGGUAAAGCAAAAGCGGCAGCAGGUUGAAAAUAAUAAUUGGGCUUUCACCUUGAGUCACAGAAAUCAGAAGAACGAGGGGAGGAAUCUCCAGCUUGAACAUGAAGGGUUCUUAACAAUACAGCUUGAGUGUCAAUCAAUUCAAAAAUUUCUUAAACAAGAUGAAAAACGAUCCAAGGAUCAUCCACUGUCAUCAAGGAACAAUACGUCGCCCCAACGCCCAUGAAAAUAUCUUUCUGUUAGAUUCAGACAGGACAUGAGGUGGCCUGUUGAAUUUGGGUAAUACAGAUUACUGUACCUAUAUGUGCCCAUGGUCAUAGCACAUGGAUGGCAUCAUUUUACCUUCAGUGAACAGAAUUCUCAUUUGUUUCAAUAAUGUACCAUGUAUUAUAAUGUGGUGGAAACAAUAUGAAAGAAUAGAAACUAACAUGAACACUUACAUUCUGACUUUGAUGAUACCACUGAAGUCUCCUUCUGCAUAACACCUCUCUAUGUUCCUCUCCUCAAGCAAGCAAGCAGCUGCAGCUCCCAGCAAAAUCUUCUGUUCUCAGUCUCCAGGCAAGCAAGCAAGCAGCUGCAGUCCUCAUAAAUGAUCUAGUAAGUAUAAAAUUCAGAUGUAUGAUAGCCAAUACUAGUAUUAAUACUAGUAAGUCUGUUUUGCAGUUAUUUUACAGAUCUUAUUGUACUAGUCUAAAAUUCUAAAUGGUACUGUAGCAUAUAGGCACUGCUGUCAGAUUUUAGCACAUCUAUACUAUUGUUUAUCCAUAUAUAAACACUCAAGGAUAACAUGCCACUGAUAUUAACUAUCGAGUUUGAGCUAUAAAACUGAAUUUUACAUCAUUUCCACUGCUCCACCAGUUUCUUUCACAACCAGAAGACACACUAAUUAGUAAGCAGCUAAGUGUGCAAUCACCAAUGCUAUAUAAUCACUAAUCAGUAAGCAGCCAAGUAUACAAACAAAAAAGGGCAGAAGGAAGAAACAAACUAAAUUGCGCACAGAGUACAGUAUAGUUUCACUAAUUACCACUUCAUCCAGAAUUCCACACUUCAAAGGCUGUUAACUGUUAUUAGCCAUUAAUAGACGAACGCAGUUUCUUUGCCCUCAAGGGCACAUACUUUCGCAAUAUGGACCGCAGAAUUUGCACUAAGAUUCGUGUCCAGGAGGAGAGUGUUCAUCUCUCAAACGAAUAACCAAAGUGCAGUACGGGUGGGUUUAUCUCUCUCUCAUAUAACAAGCUCAAGCAUGCUUCAGCUCUCCUGGGCCUUCUUCCUCAGUUCCUCCUAGGUGCCAACGUCAGCUUCUUCUGUUCGGUUCGGUGGGUCCCAUGGGCCAGUACCUCCAUCACCCGAUCGAUGCCUGUCAAUGAACAGCUGGCAUAUUCAGCAACCGACUUUGCCUUCUUGUUUGUUGGAAAUGAAAUACAAAUACCCCGCCCGCCCGGCCUCGCUCGGCUCGGCGCCCAAAGCAAAACUAACCGUCGCAACCAAUAACAACCUGCUCUCGUCUCCUCUCUCUCUCUCUCUCUCUCUCCGGCCGGUCUCCGCUCGCCGCCAUCGGAGCAGCACCACCGUCCUCCGAGAAAACCCACCCUCGCCACCGUCCGCCUCCCGUCACCAGAGAGUCAGAGGCGAUGGAGUUCUUCCACGACCGGACACACGUCCGCCUGCGGAGCCGCGCGGACGCCAGCUUGUACCUCCACGCCGACGAGGACGGGUGGCGAGUGUCGCUGAGCCCUCACCGCGCGUCGCUGAACACGGCGUGGGCGGUGCACCUCCUACGGGACCCGGACACGGGCGCCAACUACGUCCUCCUCCACAGCGCCGCCUACGGCCGGUACCUCGGAGUCAGGAUGGACUACGACGACGCGCCGCAGGAAGGCCACCCCGUCGGCGUCGUCCGCGUGGUCCAGUGCGUGUACAACACGCCGCUGCAGCCCGGCAUCAUGUGGGAGGUGCUCGGCGCGGCGGACGGGGGUGGGGGCGUGUUGCUGCGCCAACCAGUCAAUCAAGAACCAAACGAGCAACUCGCGUUGCAUUACACUGUUGAGGUGAUCCCCCCCAGACCUGCGCCGCCACAGCUUCCGGAUCAAACUCCGGUGAGUUUGCGGUUCCGCUGCUUGGAAGUUCCAACUCCUUGUGUGUUACUAGUAUCUUGCAUUCCUAAUUCCUAGUUCCUAGUUUCCUGCCAGUAACUAAAAAAACGAGUCAUAUGUUCCAGAAAUUAAUUCUGAUUCUCAGCUAUUGCUAUGUGCUAACAAACAAUGUCUGCUGAUUGAGUUGUUGAAUGCUGUUCCUGUUCUUGUUAUCACCGUUGGUCUGGAGCUAACUAAUUCUCAAGUCUGAACAUUGCGACAGUCCGACAGUCAUGUAUUCAUAUUUCCCAGCUUUGUUUUGCUAAUCGUUAGUGUGUUCUAUUGCGACAUGCAGAACGGUGUCGCGCCAGUGCUGCUGAGACGGAUGAUACGCUACAUCCGGGCAGACAACUCCGGCAUCUUUAUCUUGGCCAGACGGGGAACGCUCCAGUUCGAUGGAAGGUCCUUGCAUUUCCUGAUAGGCGAACUGGCGAACGAACUCGAUGAUAACUUCAACAAUAUCACGCUGUGCGCGAGGGCCGGCUUCCUUGGGCGAGUCACACCUCUAGUUGUCGAUCUUCCUCUCAGCGAGGAAACCAUGGACAUUGUUGUCUUGACCACCGGGUCAGCAGGUGAGGAGAGCUUUGCAGAAGUGGAGUCAUGCUUUAAUUGAUGUUGCUAGACUACUAGAGUAAUAUUCUACUGUAUCUGUUGAAUGCCUUUCAUCAUCAGCCAAACGAAUUCUGAGUUGGCAUAGUUUCAGUGUGCCAUGUUUGAUACUAGAUCUGUACAUAGUGUUUGUCUAAUGACCAAACGGUGUCACCUAAGUGAUUGUUAGUUUGUUAGAACAUUAAAAACAUGCUCACUACAUGGCCUGAAAACCAUUGAUCAAACCAGAACUGCAAGUGACUACAACAAUUCAUAAUAGCGCUAUUAAACUGGCUUAAGGGUCAUAAACAAAUUCUUUAAUCACCUGAGCACUGUUUAAGAGAAACAAACAGAUCACUGCUCCAUUUCAGACAAACAUAUUACCACAAACAGUUCAUAACAGCAUGAUGGGAAAAUUGCCUCAAUGUUCUGUUCUUGUUACCUAACGUUUUGGCUCUGAACUGUGCAUUCAGAACAUUUAGUUGUGAAACUUUGUUUGAAUGCCUUGGCUGAUCUUGUUAUAAAUAUUCAACUGUUUCAACACUUGCAAAACUGCAAUAUGUUGCCUUAUGUGUAAAUGUAUCACUGAUUUUACUUGUUCCCUUCAAAUUCAGCGGCAAUGGAAUUGCAGCACCCAGAUAUUGAUGCAGCGUAGCAGAAUGUGGGAGCAAGCAGACUGCUGACAAUAGCAUUGGGAUGAGAAUAGGCCGCACUUCUCAGGAACAAACUUGUUUUUUUGGUUUGAUGUGUUGUGCUGACUUCAGGAGGUUUGAAUUGUGUAUCAAGAUUCAGAACUUACAAUGUGUGAGUGUUAUGUGGAAAUAAUGCUUGAACAGUGCAUAAACUCAAAUCGACUCAUUACAGUGCAUAAACUCUGUGGUAGUAAUACGUUUUAGUUCGAUGAUGAUUCCUCCAGUUGGUGGCAGCCUGAACUUGUUUGUUUCGGGAGCCGUUUUGAUCAAGGAGACAUCCACCUUUUUCUUUUAAGGUUCAACCAGGGGGGGGGGGGAUCCCCACCUGAUUUUAUUUGUAUUUCAUUGCAGUUUGACUUGGCAGCCUAGAUUUGUGUAGUUUUAGUAGUGGUGAGAAUGUACAUCCAGGUUUACAGAGCUGUUUGUAUAGCUUCGUGAAACGAAUUACACCAAAGAUCAGCGAUCGGUUUCUGCCUCCUGGGCAGCCUCGCCUUCCACUGCCUGGCUUCAGAUGGGCAGUCAAUCAGUAACUGCCUUAGAGAGGACAAUUCGUUUCUGAAAACAGCACCAUUUCUUCUCUUCCAGAGCUGCCACCAGCAUAAAGCGACAAGCUUGCUAUGCUGCUGCUGCGGCACUGUACCAACUUUGAUUGUACAAAGGAUGUCGUAUGCAGAAACAGAAGUUGGAGGGAUAGGUACGCCUAGGAAUGCGCAAAAUUCAGCAGCCUUUGUGCAGUGGAACAAGAGGUGCUCCGUUGUCUCCUACAUUGAGCCACAGAUUAUGCAUGAUGAGUUGUCCACGCUGUGCUUCUUGAAAAGGUUUGCACGGCACUGAAUUCGUUGUUUUCUGACAAGCCACAUGAACAAUUGAACCCUUGGAGGCGAAGCAUUGUUCCAGAUGAAAUCUGAAGCCGGGUCUGAUUGCUGUCUUCUCAUAUUCAGAAGCUCAUAGAUUGUGGAAGUGUCGAGCUUACCUCGGUGGCUUCAUCCAGCACUAUUUGUUGAAGGAUCAGCUGUAGUUGGCCAAGUUCAGCAACCGCUUGCGUUGUGAACCUGUUGACGAAUGCAUUCUGAAGAUUGGAGUUCACUGCGUAACUGACUGAAACCUCUUUUUGAGUACAGUGCGAAAAGAGAGCCGGGAAGCGAUCUGCAACCCUGCCAAGCACUUCAAUUAUGAUAUGCAUAAUCCCUAGCCUGAUUGCAGCUUGUAACCCUGCCAAGCACCCAAGCACCAUCGCAUGGAAAGCAUCCAGCUGGGUGUUCUUCUCGGCCGGCAUCCGACACCACUGCCUGGUCCUGAUCGUCGCGAAUGGAAAAUCCCCAGCCACAAUCUUUGUUUGAGGAGUCAAAAGCCCCGUCAGAAUUCAUUUUGAGCACGCCGGGCUCAUGCUUGCGCCACCGAGAGGACUGACACAAAUCCGACAACACACCCCGUCGUUCAUUCUUCUGAAAUCUGUCAGCUUGGGCUGCUGUGAUGUAGGCAACCUCAGCUGCAGUCCUUCUUCGACCUUCUUCCCUCCAACGAUUUCGUUCUUCCCACAACAUAGAGCAGCAUGAUCAAUUGAUCAUGGUGUGGUCCUUUUCUUUCAUUUUGAGGAUCAACUCCAUCAUACCUUUAGCCCAUGUACACUGCAAGCCUCUUCCAGGUUCCCUCCAUAUUCAGUUCUCUUCAUGCCUUCUUCACCUCUUUACAGUUCAGCAACAGAUGAUCCCCAUCCUCGUCCAAUCUUCGGCACAUGCAGCAUCGGGUAUCUAUAUUCAUCCCUCUGCGCUGAAGGAUUCUUCUAAGCACGAUAGUAUUAUGACUUAGCCUCCACAGAAAAUGCUUUAUUUUGGUGCACAGUCAAUAUUCCACAAUUUAUUCCAAAGAAUUACAUGAUUUUGCUGUAUGCAUAUCAGUAUUUUUACAUACGCUAAAAAUAAUAGAACAUAGAAAUAGAUGGAUUUGGUUGUACGUUGCCAAUUCAUAGACUACUUUGUUCACUGUCUAGAAAUUUUAGUUUUUUAAAUUUAAUAAUGACUUCUUCUGAACUGCUGCUUCGCCAUUUUACUAGUUCCUGUUCCUCUAUGAGUUCAGUUGCUGAGGCAUUAGUGUACACAAGAGCAAGACUUUAGGCAACAAGAUCACAGUUUAUCUGUUCAAAUCAAAAGUAUCACUGUUUAGGAUACGAGAUGAGAACUAGCUGUACUUCUUUUGUUCUAAUAGGUUCAGAAAACUCAAUUAGCCCCUCUAUUUUGGUACCAGUACUAGUAAGGUCUUAGUUCUGAAAAGUUUGUUGAUUUUACAUCAGCUGAAAUCAGCGUUCGAACCCUCUGUUUUUUGUUUUAAUUAUUAGUUUUAUUUCCUUCCUUGUAAGCUAUUAUAUUUGGCAAUCUUGUGCUGUUCUUUUGGGGAAAAAUCAUAAAUCUGUCACAAAACAAAGCAAAGUAAAUUAAGUGAGACAUAACAAACCAAAUGAAAAUAAAUUGAGACAAACUAAGUGAGACCACGUUUGUGAGUGGCCCUACGUAUAAUAGUCCAAUAAUACAGCAAACAUCUUUACCAUCAUCGAGGAUAUCAACACAUUUGAAUAUAUAUAAUGCAAAAACGAAAUUGCAUGACUUUUUUAUUUCAGCAAAAGUCUUAUGAAGUUUUUUAUUCCACCACGUACGUAUUUACAAAUUCGUGCAAGCAUGAAGCAUAAACGCGUCAGGGUGGAAAGUCUGCAUUCCUUCGUCAAGUAGCAAUGUAGCAUACGCUGAAACGCAUCCAUCCUGCCCUGAUGUUGCCGACACUUUGGGUUGAAACUUAUAGCCACUUUACGGAGUCCUUUGGCACUUGUAAGCACACAGCUUUCAUGAAGAGUUCACAGUCUGUUCCUGUCAAUCCGCUAAGCUCUACUUCCUGACUUCCUGUAGGUGAUCCAUGGAGAUUUCAUAUGCUGUCCAAUAGUCUUGGUGAUGGCAUUCGAAACCUAAUCCAGCUUUCAAGUCGUGGUGCUGCAGCUCAGAUACAUGUUGGUUUAAUGCGAUGCGGUUGGAGAGAGGAACUGUCUACAAAAAGAGAACUGAAUAGUACCAAUGAGUUUAGGAUGAGUAGGUGCUCACCUGCAGGCAGAGGAAGAAUGGCAAAUGUAGAUUCAGGUGCCCAAGAUUGCUGAAUCGCGUGAGUAGGUUUGCCACGCCCUCUCCAAAGUCAUGUCGCUCAAACUGAAGAGCAACAUUAAUGGUGAUGAUGCGGUAUCCUACUUUCAAUCAAGUCCACGUCCUCCUCGAAUAUCUAGCUUGAUCAAAGUUAAAAGAAACUAAAGUGUGUCAACAAGACAAUAGAUAAAUUGAAUAUUGUUAGAGGAGGAUAUAUAACAAAUUUAUGCAAUCAAGCAUGUGUUUUCAUGGAUUUGGCGAUUAGCAGUAACCAUGUUUGUGAGAUACUAUAUAGAUAUGAUCCUGAGAGAUGAGAUGUACCUUUCGGCCAUAAAGAGUCACAUCAAAGCAUGUGAUGGAGCUAUAGUGAAUUAGUGAUUGAGGAGUAGUGUGUUACUAUGGUUCUCUCGGCCUCGCCGUAGCGGUUGUCAUGACAGCAAUGUGACCACAGACUGAGCUUGAGUCUCCGCAUGCACGGCGGCAAGUCCCCGUCGUCAAUCUCAAGACAUCCAGGCGUCCAGCCUAGUUUGAGCUUUUCUGCCGAAUCUUUCCGCCAUUAAGCAGUGUUUUUCUCUCAUAACAAAUCAGCCACCGAAAUUGCACCUAGGCGAAAAAGAACAUUGCAAGUUGUUCAAGCCUCGGUAGGGAGAUCCUAAUCGCUAUUGUAGAUCCAGGAUGAAGCUCUUCAGAUCCUGCUGAGAAACGUACCGGAUCCACCCUUGCGCGGCAUCGAUCAACGCCGGCAUUCUCAGUUGUUCCAGGUGCACGGAGCCCGUGGCACACGAGAUCGCUAGGCUCUCCAUGGCGGCGCAGCCGGAUGAUUAGGUACUACUACUACGCCGGGCAAGGACGCCGUUGACGAAGGAGACGUACCCCUCCAAGGCGGCGCACAGCUCGGCCGCCGUGGUACUGGAGGACGACACUGCCGGCGGGCGAGAGUAGGCGAAGCGGAGCGCGGGAACGCGCGCCCAGAGCCCGAGCCACCUCCGCGAGAGCGCGCCGCGUCGGCCACCAGCUCGAGGAUGUGGAGGAGCACACGUCGUCGUGCAGGCCGCUGAUCAGGUCAUCGCCGUCGCCGGCCCGAUCCGCGUUGCCCGAGUCCUCCGCCGCGGAAUCCAUGCCUCGAUCUGCCAACAGGCUCGGCCGGCGGCGAGGGGCUUUAGUUUUCCGUAAUUUGACCCAGGAACUUGAUGCGUUCACACGACCACCAUAUCCACCCCCGCUUUUUUUUUUUUUUUUUUUUUUGAGCAUCAGAUCCACCCCAACUUGACACGUACUACGUUAAUCGCUAUUCACGACGUGACCAACGUCGUACUCUAACAACCAAUUAAGACUACACAGUUUCAAAAUCGCGUUCGAUAUAUUUGUAAACGGAUUGUAAGAAAUAAAGAAAAUAAGCAUAUAGGAUUAUCAUUCAUAUGGAUCCCCUUUUAGAUUUGUUGAGAAAUUGAAGAAGAAGAAAACAUGGGAAUCGUACUUUGAUCCGCAGAAUCGCUAGCAGGAAAAACACAGGACAUCACCCAAUCUGCUGUAGUGUGACGGCGGCCAAUCUCGCCGGCGGGGGGCUAAUUCGGGCUGUAGUAAGGCAGCACGGUGUAGACCGUCUGCACGACGGUGAGGACGAGCAGGAAGACGGCGGCGGCGGCGGACAUGCUGGUCCACGGGUUGCUGAAGUAGUCGUGCACCAGCACGGCGCGGUGCCGGUUCCAGCUGCGUCCGCAGUACUCCCUGACGUCGCGCAGCAGCGCGGCGUAGCAGUUGUCGACGAACUCGGGCGGCGGGCACAGCUCCCCGAGGUUCGCGUAGAACGCCGCCGUCUCCUCGUCCCCGCGCGCCAGCACGCCGGCGCGCUGCAGUGCCUCCACGUCGCGCCGCGCGUCCACCACCGACGCCAUCAGCAGCACGUAGCUCACCAGCCGCUGCAGCUCCCACCGGCCCCGGCUCUGCUCGUACGCCAGCAGGUUCGCGAACACGGCGUGGUUCGUGUAGCUCUCCACCGCCGGGAUCUCCAGCGUCCCGCUGCGCCGGUCGAACGUCACGUCCACCAUGCUCCGCGGCGACUUCUUGACGCGGAACGUCACCCCGGAGUCCUGCAGCUCCGACGCCGGCGGCAGCAGACUCGGCGACCGCUCGUCGUCCAUGGACCUGGACGUCAUCUCCUCCAGCGCCUCGUCCUCGCUCUUGCUGGCGGCGCCGCUCCCGAACCGUUGCUCCGGCGGCAGGAACCAGUAGUAGUAGAGGUGGAGCAGGUGGUGGAUCUCGCCGUCGGGGGGCCGCGUGCUCUCCGGGUCCCGCGGGCCGGAGGUCAUGUCGACGGUGAGGUAGUUGACGAGGACGUUGGUGACGAAGUAGUCCCGGCCGAGCCCGCCGGUGGCGAGGUCGUAGAAGCGCUCCAGGACGAAGAAGGGGAGCUGGUUCUCGAGCAGCAGCAUGUCGUUGUACACGUUCUGGAUCGCCCACGUCGCGUCGAUGAGCGCGUCCUCCUCGCUGUCGUGGCCCUUGAGGAAGAACUCCACGACGAAGCAGCCGUCGAGGAGGAGCAUCUCGGCGAACUCGGCCGGGGGAAGCGCCACGGGCUCGGCGUAACGGCGGCGGGCGCGGGCCUCCAUCGCGCGCGCGGCGCGGGCGUACGUGGCCAGCGUCGCGCCGCCGGGGCGGGACAGGAUGUCGCGGAGGUACCGCCACUUGUGCGCCUCCAUGGCGGCGAGGUGCCGGCCGGCGCCGCGGUGGAAGGGCCCGAUGGAGAUCAUCUGCGGGUCGAAGAGGUGCCGGUUGCGCUCGCGCAUCGACCCCGCCACGCGGAAGAUGGUGAACGGCUCACUCUCGUGCGCCUUCCCGGGCAGCGCCGCCAGGCGGCGUGCCAUGCGCGCUGCCAUGUCGUCGGCCCCCGCGUCGUCACCGAUCUCUUCCUCCUCCUCUUCAUCCUCCUUCUCCACGCCGCCGCUGCUCUCGUCCAGCCGGCGCUGCACGGACGCCGACAGCUCGUCCCCUUCUACCUCUCCGUCGUCGUUUGUCUUCUCCUCGGCGUCGCCGAGUGCCCUGCCCGGGCCACUGGUAGUGUCCACGACGGUGCUGUUCUCGUCGGCCGCAGCACCGCCGUGAUCGCCCGGUGUGGCGGCGACGGCCGGAGCGUGGUCCUUGGGCACUAGCAGGGGCUCCAUCAGAGGAGAAUCCAUGAGUGACAGUGACCCAAGAUGACCGUCACAUCUGUGUCCUUUAUGUAGGGGUCCUGAUUUUUUAUUAUUAUAUUCAAUCAAUAUGCAAUGUUGUCAUUCCUUGGCUAUAGUAUUUAUGGCACCUCGUUUUUUUGUUACUAUACAGUCAACAUGCAUUGUUGUCAUCAUUGUUUGACUAUAGAAAUAUUUAUGGUGCCUAUUUUUUUUAUUCUUAUUCAGUGUGUUGUUACAGUUUGAUUAUGGAAACAAUUUAAAAUUCUCUUUUGAGUUAUCCCUUCAAUUAUAUUAGCUGUUUAUGUAGGAUUAUUGUAUGAAAAAUUAAGCACCUAAAAUAUAGCAACUCUCAUAUUUAUAUCUAUAUCUAAUCCAUUCUAUAUCUAGAACUGUAACUAUAUACAUAUAUAAUAUGAAAAUAAGAAAAAACAAAACCUCUAAAUUUCGGUCCAACGCUCUCUCGCUGAUUCUCUCUCUCCGAUUCUUUUGUUUUGGUCGGUUUUUAAUAAAAGUAGUAAUACGUGAUGAAUUAGAGAUAAAAGUUCUAACUAAUUUAAUCUUGCAUACAUUUUUUCGGUAACCAAAGAUGGUUGUGAAAUGAGUCGGCACAGGUUAACAGGCCAAUAACAAAUGGUAUAUAUUAUAUAUCUUUAUCUAUAUUUAUCGCUAUCUCUAUUUAUAUCUCUAUCUCUAUCUUUAAUCUCUAGUAUUAAAGAGGCUAAGAUUUUUUUAAUUUAUCUAUCUCUAGUAUUAAAGAGGCUAAGAUUUCUUGAUAUAUCUCUAUCUCUAAUAUUAAAGAGGCUAAGAUUUCUAAAUAUAUCUCUAUCUCUACCUCUAAUAUUAAAGAGCUAAGAUUUCUAAAUAUAUUUCUAUCUCUAACAUAAUAUUAAAGAGGCUAAGAUUUCUAAAUAUAUCUCUAUCUCUAAUAUAAUAUUAAAGAGGCUAAGAUUUCUAGAUAUAUCUACAAUAUCUAUAUGUAAUGGCAAAUAUUAAAGAGGCUAAUAUUUUUUUCUCUUUCGUCGCCCACAACCGUUCAAUGGGGAUUGACGAUCCAAUAUUUUCCCUGUGCGUAUAAUAUUUAAAUGAGAAAAAUAUUCCUCUAAACUUUCUCCAUUCACUCAAAUAUUCCUCUAAACUUUCUCCAUUCACUCUUCUCUUAUCUGUCUUUUCUGGUUGGUUUUAUGAAGGCCCUAUUUAGUUGGUGCUAGUAAAGUUUAACUUCUGUCACAUUGAAUGUUUGGACACAUGCAUAAGGUACUAAAUAUAGGCUAUUUACGAAACUAAAACCAUAGCUAGAGAGUAAUUUACGAGACGAAUCUUUUAAGCCUCAUUUCUCAGUGCAUAAUUUCAUCAACAUGGUUUUAUGGGGUUAUUUUUAGUGUGGAUUCCACCUAGGUCUCUCCUACACACGAGAUGAAAUGAACUAAAUGUUGUGGUGGGCCAUGGUCAUCCUAGUCUCACUUACGUUGCAUCUGAUCUAGGUUUUCCUAGAAAUAUUUAUCUAGGUUUUCCUAGAAAUAUUUUAGAUCCAUAUUCUCUUUAAAACAUAUUUCUGUUGAAUCUAAAUCACUUUGUGAAACUGUUUGACUAGCUCUCUUAAUUCUUGAAAGUAUAAUUAGAAUUAAGAGAAACCAUAUUUGGGUGUUUCUCUGAACUAGUGAUACUUCGUCAAUCAUUUCUCUUUUCGUGGCGUUUGGCGGUGAUUCUACUGCGAGUCAAAAAGAUCUCUCUGCCAAAAGCACCCUUAAUCUCUAUUGAAUAAACAGUAAUUUUGGUAUUGUUUAUGAGUGUUUAGAGGUCAAUCUCGAUUGAAUAAACGAUAAUUUUGGUAUUGUUUAUGAGUGUUUAGAGCCGGUGUUUGUUCAGUCAAGCGCUGCCACUGCGUUGCAAAAACAAACCGUUGGAAACACCGGCAGAAACUACAGCGUUUCUGGGCAAACGCCAUCGAAAAUCUGUGACGAAGAUUAGCAACGAUAGCAUCUACGUAUGACUAUGACCAAAGCACUUCAAUGGAGCAGGCGCGAGGCUUGAGAAAGCCUGUGCACAAGGUGACACGGGCAUUCAAUUGUCCACCAGCUUUGUAGACAUCACUUUGCCUUAAUCGCUAAGGAAAUGAGUCAUGAGCGGCUGGAAAAUUCCAACAGAAUCAUCUUGUUUGGUAAGACUCCAGCUGAGCGGUGAGCACCAACAGACCAACAGACAGGGCAACUGUUGAGAUAAGUAACUGAAAUUCCAAUUCCACUGUAGAUAGCUGAACAAUUCUCAGUCUGACCUUACAUAAGGAGAGCCAGUUCAAAAGUAACUCAAAUGGUAAGUUUUGUAUGGGUCAGAAUAUAUCAAGAAAGAGACAUUUAAAAGAAACAAAAACAUUGGUGACAUCUGCAGACUUCAUAACAUCCAACUGCUAUAGCACGUAUCAUGUAUGUAUGGGGAAAAAACUGCCUUGCUGGAUCGUGUCAAUACCAAAAGCGGUUAUGUUUAGGCUAGUCUAUCUUCUCGCCAAUUGGAGAAUGAAGACAAUCAAUCCUGAUGCCCUCUCAAUCGAUGGCUAGACAUAAGGGUGGCAGGAUUUAUCACUCCUGGUCACCUUGGGGACCAACAUGGGCAGGAUACUUUGCAGAAACAUCUGCCCAGGUGCUUUGGCCUUCUGUCAGCUGCUUCACCACGGAUGCCACCUCGUUGAUGUCCACACGGAUCUGCUCCUUGCUGUCCCUCUCUCGGAUCGUCACGUUUGUUGCUGAAUCCACUGUUACAGCAAAUGGAACACCAAUCUCGUCUGUCCUCGCAUAUCUCCUCCCAAUAGAAAUUGCUGCAACAAACACAAGCUUAAGCUUACAUAUAAAGUCCUUUCGGCCUGCGUUAAUGGGAGUGGAGUAUUUGAGAUCAUAUCGCACAUACCAGUAGUGUCAAUAAUGUGGGAGAUACCGGCAGUUGUUAAUGCCUUAGCGAUUACUUUGGCAGCAGCAUCAAACUCUUGAUUUUUAACGAGGGGGAACACGGUGCACUUGAUAGGAGCCACAAGAGGAGGGAACCGGAAGACAUUCAGUUGUUCCUCUUCUGAUUUGCUAGGCCUUGUGUAAAAUGAAUGCUCAAACAAGCAGUAGAUGAUCCGGCCUAUGCCAAAUGACGGCUCGAUGACCGAAGGGGUGAAGACUCGCUGAUGUUCCAGCUUCUUCUCCAUGCUGAUUGAUACCAUCUUCUUUGUAAUCACCACAUCUUUUCCAAGUGUGCAGACUCUAAAAUUUGUCUCCCCCUUGGUUUCUAGUUCAGCUUUCAUCUCAAAUGCUUCCUUCUCACUCAUAGCCUGGUAUAUGGUGAUACCAGCAGAAUAAAGUAGUUUACUCAGGGAACGGAGACAUCAGAAAAGCUAGCAGCCACAUAUAACAAGGAUAAUGACAAGACUUGUUACCUCCAAUGCUUCAAGGACCAUCUUUUGGUUGCCCUUAAAAGCCAGCCCCAGGUCUUUUUUCGAGGGAACUAUGACAAGUUUCUGCAAUAAUGAAUAUAAGCAAACAUAUAAGCACAUGUUAAUGAAAUAACGACUUCAUUUUAAUGUAUGAGGAAAAAUUUAUAUAAUAGAGCACUCAGAACGGUAGUGAACUUGAACCAUGUAAAUUUUUGUAAUAUUUAGUUGAUCUUGAACCAUGCACUUUAAUGGGAAAGUAAAGCUGUCAGUGUCAUGUAUUUAACAUGAAAAGUUAUAGCUACUGCAGAAACUGGAUAUGAUAUCUCACCUCAACCUCUCUAGGUUUGGAGAAUUUUUCAUGAGCAACAAGUGGGACACCACUUUUCUCCUGUGAGAUAAUAAACAGACAAUCAUGGUAAUAUUAGUAGCACAUUUGCACACCAAACAUAGUACAAUGAUAUAAAUUUCAUUUAGCAAAGUGCAGUUACAACAUGAGAUGAGCAAAUCAAUUGAUGUGGCAACAUAUCCAAAGGACAAAAAUGUCUCAUAAAUUUUCCAGUGUGAAAAGGAUAGUAAUCUUACAGUGUGAGCUUUCAAAUCAUAUGCAGAUCUAUCAGCAAUACCCACACACUCUAUCCACCCAUAAGAGCACUCUAUCUCAGCAUCCCAACAGUCAGCAGCAUAAUGAGCCAUCUCAUUAGGUAGAUGCUGCCUGAAGCGCAACCUACCCUUAUCGAUUCCCAAACAUGUCAGGAAAAGAUAGACUCUUCCGAUGAAGUAACCAAGUGUCUCAUUGUUAACAGUUCCCUGUAAAUAACAAUAGUGUAAAAGUUUAAAAUUCCUUCCUGGGUAGGAACAACGUUAUAUAAACAAAAGAAAUAGAUUAAAUUGGAAAGAGAAAAACUGCCAGCAUUUGUUAACCUUUGAAACUGCUUCCCCAAGCUUCAUUAGCUUGGCUGACUCCCCUGAGAGUUGCAACUCUCUUGGAAACAUCAGGAACUCCAGAUCAGCAACAUCAACAAAUUUUGGAUGUGAUUUGUCCUCUGGGUCCACAAAAUGCUCAAUCUCUGCCAAUGUAAAUUCACGCACUCGGAGAAGACCUUGUCGUGGUGAGAUCUGAUUGUCAAGUAAUAGACAUAGUGAGUACAUUAAAAAAGGGAAUAUCUAAGCAACUAUCACAUAGCCAAUAACUGCUUUUUAGAAGCAUGCUAACUAUACAAAUGUACUAUCAUAAAGUAUAAAUUAUUCCAAGCAUAUUAACAAAAACUUAGUGUAGAACCUUAAUUAAUUUCAAGAACAAAGCAUGGAGCAUUGAACGAACAGUGACUGAAGCAUGCCAUAAUUGCGGAAGUAACAAGUGAAAUGGCAUAUAACACAGUAAUUAGUACAAACAAAACACAAACCUCAUUUCUAAAAGCUUGGCCGAUUUGAGCAGCUGCAAAGGGGAGCUUUUGGCCAUUGUAAUAGUACAGGUCCUUGAAGUUUACAAAAAUACCCUGUGCAGUCUCUGGUCGCAUAUACCUAUUUCCACCACACAAAAUUGGACCUUUUUAGCCAAUCACCAUAGAAGGAAACAUCAUUACAAAGAGAAUGGAAAUAUUCUUACCCCACGCUAAGACCAGUGGGACCAAUAGAUGUCUGGAACAUAAGAUUGAAUGGGUAGGGAUCAGAAAGCGGAUUCUUUGUAUCAGGGGCAACAAUGCCGUAUUCCUUAAUCUUUGCACCAAGUUCCUCUGCCGAGAGGUCAUCCAAAAUGGCAAGAAUACGCUUCAAUUCAUCAGCCUUCUCUUGGGGCAAGGCAAGGUCUUUCUCAAGUUUCUCCUUGCAAAAAUCUUUCAACAAGUGGUCAGCACGGUAGCAUGUGCCUGUCUUCUCAUCUUUAACCAUGAGGUCAGUAAACUUCUCAACAUGGCCUGAUGCCUUCAAGACAACCUCAGGCGUCACACAGGGGCAGUCAACCUCCAACAUGUUCUCUUCCAAAACGAAGUGCUGGGAGAGAAAUUAAGAAUCUCAGUAAUCUUAGCAAAGAAGAAGUAGAACAGGAUGAAUCAUCAGCCACAAGAAGUAACUAAAAUGUAAUCAAUUCCAGUAAAAACUAGCAAAUCACAACACAAACUGCACCAAGGAAGGCUAAAAAUUACUUUUCCACAGCACAUUUUCCAAUACUUACUAAUUGACAUGAGAAAAGUUUCGUCAAGAUUAAUGUCAACAUUGUAUAACUAAAGCACCGAAAAUAUUCUUGCUAUCAGCUGACAGAACAAUGCAUAUACAAACUUGAAAAGGGACAAUAAUGUAACACUCCUGUCCUAAUAGAAAAAUCGUUAUCAUCGUCCAGAUUAUAGAUACAAAUCCCACGGGAAAACAAAAUUCUGAAGGUCACAAAUGUCUUUUCCGCAUCUGAAGGUCACAAACCACUUUUCCGCAUCUGAAGGUCACAAAUGUCACAAUCGUUGACGCACAGCAAACCACGCACAUCAGCUAAGACGAAACUACAGGGUAAAAAAUUCAAAGCAUUCAGAGACAGAUCGCGGGCGUCACCUGGCGCCAGAAGGAAAGCACGUUGGCCUUGACGCGGCACCCGGGCGGGCCAUAAUCAUAGAGCCCCGCGACACCGCGGUAGAUCUUGAAGGAGGGUAUGUAGAACAGCUUCCGCUCGAGCGUGUUCACCACCGCCUGCCGCAGCUCCUCCCUCGCGGCGCCACCCGCGCCGGCCCCGAGCGCCUGCUGCAGCCGGCGCGCGGCGGCUCCGGCCUCGACCUUGAGCGCCUUGAGCGCCUCGACCGCGGCGUCCACGUCGGCCUUGGACGCGCCGCCGCCGGCCUUGAGCGCGCGCACGGCCUCGGCCUGCGCGUCCGCGGCGGCCUGGCGCUCCGCGAGCGCGCGCCGCAGCGCGUCCUCCGACGGCGCGGCCAUGGAGGUGACGGCGACGGUGGUGUGGUGCCGGCGGCGCGCUGUGGCGGCUAGGGUUGCGGCGGGCUGGGUUCUGGGUUUAGGGGUGGAGCGGAGGAGUGAGGAGAAGAUGAGCUGGGGGCGGAAUCGCAUAAAGACCAUUGAUGGAUGCGGCCGCGGCAACGAAAGCAAGACGCACAAAGAUCGUUGAAGAGUGUUCAUUUGAACCCUCGCAUUUUGAUUUAAUUAAAUAUGAAAAAAGUUCAUGGACCUAUACGAAUACGAAGGUUUCACAAACUUUCUUGUUCGAAAUUUUUAGUUUAACUUUAACUAUAAACUUCCCUAAAAAAACAUUAACUAUUAAACUAAAAAAAACUUUUAUAAAUUGGCAACGUCAAAUUAGCAAAGGUAGAUUUCUUUUGAAACAUGUUCGCAAUGUGUACCCUUUAUUAAUAUUUUGGAUAAUAUAUAUUUCUCUAAAUAAGAAAUGUGUUAUACUAAAGACCAUGUUAAUAAUAGUUUAAGUAUAACUAAAAUAACCUUAUAUUUCAUAGUUCUCAACUUUCAAAAUUGUUCAUCACAAAAAGAAAACUUUCAAAAUUACCUCUCUCUAACCAUAAUGAUUAUAGUAUCCUAAAAUCUUAAACUAGUUUUUGAUGGUGUAUCGUGCUUUACUCAUUCCAUCCUAAAAAAAUAAAAAAGUGUAAUUCCAAUUUUAAAAUAAGUCAAACAUCUUUAAGUUUAACCAAGUCCAUUGAAAAUUGUAUCAACAUUCAUGUAUACAAACAUUUUUACUAUAAAAAUAUAUCUAAUAACUAAUCGUGAGAGUUACUUUCUUUUUAGGAUGGAUGGUCUAGUAUUUAUAGUAUUCCAUCCGUUCCAAAAUAACUAUAAUUUUGGGUUUCAGCAUCACAAGUUUGACUAGAUUUCUAUAAAAUAUGUGUAACAUUUAUAUCUCUAAAUAAAUUUGUUAAAAUUAGAUUAAGAUAUCUUUUUAAUGAUACUAAUUAUGUAUUAUAAGUAUUAAAAUUUUUAAAUAUAUAUUUAGUCAAAGUUAUUUCACGGAAAGUGAGAGCGAUAGUUAUUUUAGGACGAAGAGGGUAUUUAGGAAUAUUACAAUUGGUAGGUUAUAUUUGUAUUGGAUCUCUUCAGGCCAUAGCAAAAAUGUGGACCAUCAGUGCAAAACUCUACAAAUUUUAGGGCCAGAGAAGAAAAUAAUUAAAGAUAAUAAUUUAGAAAAUUGCAUAAACUGUAUAAAAUAGAUAAACUGGGCUUGUUUGUGUUUAGGAGUGAUUGUACGUCUAUAUCUACAUUUAUUUAUACUACGAUUCGACCGAAAGAUGAUCAGUCAAUUUGACUUGGUGAUUACAAGACUAGCUAGAAAUUCUUAAGAACACUCAGGUGCUCAUUUGACUCCAGUCGGGUUUUGUAGUUCUUCGUUGUUAUUUUCCCUAAUUUCCCUUUGCAAAUGACUGGAGCUCAAGACCGAAUAUUAUUUCUUUUGAGGGUGUAUCUGAAACAUUACCAGUAUGCUGGGGUCUCAUUUGGACGGCGUGGAUUUGGUCCCGGAGGAUGGGAGCACACAUAUGCGGGUCGCUGUCGGAAAUAAAAUGGCCGGCCAAUGGUUACGAGGAUCUCAUCCCGUUCCCAUCCAAUCUGAUUCGAUGGCCUGUUUCUCUCGCUAUUCUCUUUCUUCACAUCGGUGGAUCCGUGGAUGACUGGAUGCAACUCAGCGUCGUGUUCGUGUCUAUCUGUAAUUUCUGGACUUCAUGCAAAAUUUUGUGCAACGAAAAUGAAAUAUUUUGGGAGCGUGAGGAUCUUAGGA